rnacentral:lncRNA from 1 species
GUGGAGAAGAAAGAAAGUAAGAGAAUGGAGGAAAAUAAAAUUACUGCAAACCCUUGAAGUUUGCAGUAAUUUGCGGAAAAUAGAGGAAAAUGGAAUUACUGCAAAAGUAAGUAAGAAACGCAACAAGGCUUUUGAACCUUUCUCUGAAUCCCGCCAAAAGGAAGAACCGUUGAUAUGGUUCAAAGGUUUGGGUCGUUUGAAUUUGUUGAUAAUGGGUUAACGUCACAGUUUACCCCUAAACUUUCAUUUAAUGUGCAAUGUGGUAUAUGUAUAAAAAUAACUUUGUCCCAUACCGAAUAAAAAAUACGUGACAUUAAAUGAUUGGUUUUGAGUUUUGAAUAUAAUUUACUCUUCAAUUUUCAACUGAUACGUACUUUUUUCUGUUUAAAGUUUCUUUUUGAAAUUUUGUUUACUGCUUAAAAAUAGAAAUAAGAUGAAAAUAUCAAAUAAUUUAAUUAACCUGUAAAAAUCAUAUUCAAAACCCAAAAUCAAUCAUAUACCUUAUAACGACACAUGGAAUUAUUUAUUAAAACGAUUUUAAAGCUUCGGGGUACACUGAUACUUCGCAGAAUAUAAUCCAUGUAUCAAAUUAGAUAUUUUCUUUGCAGAGGUAUUAUAUUGCACAUUAUAUAAAAUUCAAGGACUGAUUUUGACAUUUACCCUUUAAUAUUCUUGCACUUGAAUUGAAUUCUUGUCUUGUUCAUAACAUUUUUGUAUUAAGAUUGUACUUCAUAACAUUUUUGUAUUAUGAUUGUACUUAAUUAUGUUUAUGUUAGUGUCUUAUAAUUAGAUUUGUCAAUUUUGACCAAAAUUUAGAAUCAGUUUCAAAUUCAAACUCAACUUAAUUCAAUCUAAUUAUAAAAGACUCAAAUCAUAUAUAACUUCAAUCUGGAAAGACCAAAAACUAAAAUGACUCAAAUAAAUAUCCAAAAUAAUAUGAAUUUGAGAAUCAAGCCUGAAAUGGCCCAAUUAAAAAAUACAAAUAAUUCGAACUUGAAAUAACUUCAACCUAAAAAUACCCAAACUUGGAACCCCAUGUAAUAGCAUGACGAUGACGGUCAAGAGUAUUCACCGCUUAAAGUGUGGCCUGAAUUCUAAUCGCGUUAGUUGUUCGGGUUUAGCCCUAUUAUUGUAAUUCCAAAAAAAAAAAACCCAAAAUUGAAACAGACCUUUAAAACUCAAAUUGAAACCAUCUAAAUUGAUCAAACCGGAAUCAAUCUAACCAAUCCAAACCCAUCUAAUUGACAUUCAAGCAAGUGGAAAAGGCAGUAACUGAAUAGAAUGGCUAUCAAACAGAGAGAAAAUGCCUUCAUUGAGAUCAUACCCAUAGAAACCAUCUAUGAAAGUAAAAGUGAACUGCACAACUAGGCAAUCAUAUAGCAAGGGUGACAAUCGACAACGUGCCGGUCCUGUGAGAUCUACUGACACGAGACUUGUUUUUUACCCUAAAGAAUCAGCAAACCGAUAUAGAUCUGCCAAUGUCCUAAUAGUUCUAUCUGGCAGACCAACAAAGCCUUCUAUAGAUGGUGAUGACCCAAAUAAAUCAGCAAACCACUUGGAUGUAGAUUGUGCAACAUAGCCUUGUUGCCAUGUAUAUGCCAGACCAUUGCCACUCAUACCGCCGCUUCGUACAUUGGUGGUUCCUCCUAUCUGGUCCAUCUCAGUUUUCGGAAAAGAAUUGGUAGAUCCAUGUGGUGCAGCAGAGGCAACAGGAUAAUCGUUGGCAUGACAAGAAUUAGGGACCAAACCAUCAUAUAACUUCAUGCCUUCAGCAAGAAUAGCAGACGGUUGCUCAUGCGACUGAUUUACAUUAGAUUUUGGCAAAGGGGACCCUUUGGUUGCAAAUUGUGAUUGCUUCAUUUCUUUGCUCUUAACCGUACUCGAUGAUCCCAUUUCAUCCAGUUUUCUGUUUGGCUUUAUUUUUUUCUCCUCAAGCCGUUUAUGUAACUCUGCAACUCUUUCUUCCAACUUGACUAUCUUCUUUUCAAAUUGAAUUGAACCAAGAAGCUCCGUUACAUCAUUACUAAGAUUUUUCGGAUACUGGACUAUCGAUUCAAGAGCAUCUAAUUGCUUUUCAUUAGCCUUUCCCAUCUGGGCUAUCCCAUUUUCGGGAAAACAACAGGUUGAUCCAUGUGGGGCAGCUGAGGUAACAGGAGAAUUGUUGGCAUUACUAGAAAUAGGGACCGAACCAUCGCCUUCGGAAAGAAUAGUGGUCAGUUGCUCACACAACUGAUUUGCUUCAGAUUUUGGCAAAGGGGACCCUUCGGUUGCCAACCGUGAUCGCUUCAUUUCUUGGCUCUUAACUGUACUUGAUGAUCCCUUUUCUUUCCGUUUUCUUUUCUUCAUUUUUUUCUCCUCAAUAAUUUUUUUUAGCUCAACAAUUUCUUCUUCCAACGUCACUAUCUUCUCUUUAAUUUGCCAUGAACCAAGAAGCUCGGUUGCAUCAAUACUACGAUUUUCCGAAUAAUGGACUAUAGAUUUUAGAGCAUCUAAUUGCUUUUCAUUAACCUUUUUCUGCGAAAGGCCAUAAUACAGUAAAUGCAAUGUUUAAGGAUGAGAAAACAUGUAAGAUCAUUUGUGUGAACAAGAGAUUAAAAAGGACCAUACCAGCGCCACGUGGGACUUAUUCGCUUCCUGUUUUGCCCCCUCGAAUGCUUUUGUAGACUCUUGCAAGAAUGAAGUCAACAUUGUCUUAGAGGAGAAUUUAUCCUCAAGCCCAAAGAUCGAAGCAACCUCAACAGCUUCGAAAGGCAUCCCAUUCUUCACCAUACUCUCUAUGAUAUCUGUAGCAUACAAAAGUGUCUUACGUUAAUCAGAUGCAAUUAUAUUUAGUUCGCCAUUAAUAUUUGUCUGAUUUCUGUGAGAAUUCUUGUUAUGGACACUUAAAAAAGUGAGGCAGAAACAAUGUUUUCAAACGAUUAAUUACAGUCUUUGUGACUCUUUUUUCUACUUUCACUUGAUAUCACAAACCUCUCCUAAAUCAAGGAGAUUGAAAUAAGAAAGACACUAAUUACCGAUCUGCAGGCAGGCAGGAAUAUAAUGAAAUCAAAGGGUGACUCAGAGCCGACUAAGUGACGAAAACAGAUUCUAAAGCACACCAAGAAAGGCUAUUCUUCAUUUUUGUGCUGUUCUUGUCAAUUAGUAAGCCACCUUCUCCUAAAUCAAGACGAUUGAAAUAAGAAAGACACUAAUUACUGAUCUCCAGGCAGGCAGGAAUAUAAUGAAAUCAAAGGGUGACUCAGAGCUGACUAAUUGACAAAAACAGAUUCUAAAGCACACCAAGAAAGGCUAUUCUUCAUUUUUGUGCUGUUCUUGUCAUUAGUAAGCCACCUUCUCUAAGGCAUUCCACUUUUGAGCUAGAGAAUAGUUAUAAGGUUACAUAGUAAAUGAAACUACCCAUAUUGAUUUCCCUAUUUGUAUUUACCAUAGUAGCAAUAUAAUUUGAAACUAAUUUGUGAAGUUUGUAAAAUCCACAGGGUCAUAAUCUUACCUAAACUGAUUUUAACCACAAAGAGAACAAGGGUAAUUAUCAUGAAAAGGAUAGUUAGAAUUUGAAACUAGGAUAGACAAUUCUUAGGAAUAAUGAAAUUGUACAUGGAAGGAACUUGAGCUCAAACUCAAGUUUGAGUAUUGUUGAGGGGAUCGACUUCUUUGGGAGAAGUGUUCGAAGUGUCAUCUGCUGGGCAGCCAACCAAAUCCCCAACAAUGGUAGGUACUGUCCUCGUCUCAAGGUUUUGUCUGCCUCCUCCAACACGGGGAUAAUACCUAUCAUUGUUGGGGCUCCAUUUACUGUUGAGGGGCCAACUUCUUUGGAAAAAAUCAUCGAAGUGUUGGCCGAAUCCCCAACAAUGGUACCACUUGAGCUAUAUAUCCCUCAGGUUGAUGGUUCAAGUACCCCGUGCAUGUGAUUUACAUAAUUAAUGUUACGCACUAUACUGAUACCUCACUCGAGAGCCUUGUAAGUCGUAUUUUCACCAACCAAGGCAUUCCUCUUUGCAAACCCUUCAGGGCUCUCGACAAAGAAGGGAGACAAAACCUGACACCUGGACAACACCUACCAUUGUUGGGGGUUCAGCCAACUGCCCAGUGGAGACACUUUUAAGACUUCCCUGAAGGAGUCUAGCCCCCUUCAACAAUAAAAAGACAAAAAAGGAAAGAAGACAAAGACCCUGACACAGGACAAGAGCUACUAUUGUUGGAAGUUCGGCCAACUGCCUGAAGAACAACAUUUCAAACUUCAAAGACUUCUUCUGAAAAUGUCAGCCCCUCAACAAGUAUAUAAAUCGUGUAAGUGAACCCAAAUAGUUCAAUUUCAUUCUAUCAAGCUUGAGCGGAUUAAUCUAAACAGUGUUAACUACCAUAUAAGAACAAUGACACUCCAUAUUAAUGAUGACAUUGGUAGCAUCCAAAAAAAUUCAUAAACUUAUAAGCAAUUCAUAUCAAUGGAACCUGAAAAGCAAUUACCUGGAAUUUUCCCAUGAAGAAAAGGAGAGCACUUUACUGCAUCCGAGAUGCCACUGAGCUUAGUCAACUUAAACAAAACCCCCAAAUCCUCAUUACUAAACACUUCGGGAAUCCCAAAACAAGCAACAAAAAGCAACAAACCCUUUGCAUCAGUUUCAUUGGCUUUAUCCAAACCACCCUCUCCAAUCAACCUCUUUCGCCAUUCAACAGCUCUUUUCCGUGCUUCUACCUUAACAUUUGCAGCAAUUAGAAACCCACCUUCACCUCUCAUCAUCAAAAGGAAAAAUUCCAAAACCAAAACAGAAGCUUGCCUUGCCAAAGGUAUAUAAGGAACCUUGAUUUGAGCCUUUUUGCCUAAUAGAAAGAACCUCCCAAUGCAAUCUAAAACCAAUUGGGCUGGUUCUGGUGCAAGCUUUAGAGCCGCAGGGACUUCUUCUCGAAGCUUUGGGAUAUCUGAUAAAUGGGUAAUAAUAUAUUUACGUACUCUUUUGCUACGCAUCCUUUCGCAAAGGUUUCCAAUUCCAUAAAGCGAGGAUACCGAAGGAGAAACUGUUUGGGGUACUUUUUGCGUUGAUUUGGGAGAAGGUUGGGGUACAAUUUGAGUGCUUUGUUCAUUGAAUUUGGAGCCAAUGGCUUGGUUAAUGAAAUCGAGGUGUUUGGUUAAUUCGUCGAAUCUAUAUUUGAAAGCUUCGAUUGCAGUGGAGAAGGAGGUGAGGUCGUCAAUGAAUUUUAAUAAAUGGGGUUGUCGUUCUUCUUGUUCUUUUUCUUGCAGUUGUAGUUGUAGUUGUUCUUGCUGUCGUUGUUGCUGUUCUGGUUCGGUUUUGACCACCGCUAACGGCGGCGGAAUCGGUAACCGGGGAGGUAGGGACGGCGGCGGGGAAUCAAGUGGAUCUUGCUUGAUGGCGGUGUAACUGAGUUUGAUUGAAGGCAAUGAAGGUUUGGCCAUUACAACUUCACAAACUAAAAUCCCGGCGGCUUUUCUAUUUAUAGUUUUACCCUGUAAUAUAAAAAUUAGGGUUAAAAUUUGUUGUUACUCAUCCUUUAUAGAAUUUUAGGUUAUCCUUUGUCAAAUUUUGUUAAUUUAAUAGUGAUGGAAUAUUAUUUUAAAAGUAGAUAAUUAGUUUUUUAAAAAAGUUUAAUAUAUGGAUUCACCCUUAAAAUAACCCAUUUCUUUCCUAAUUCCUUUUUUUUUUCUUUUCUGAAUCACAUUGGUUAGUAUCCGUUAUACAAAUCGAUCCUUAUAAUUAAUACCAUUAUUUUUUUUUAAGGUUUAAUAUAUAGAUUGACCCUUGAACUUGACAAUGUUUUUCAUAUUGACCCAUAAACUUCUUUUUAAAUCUAUUAUACAGAUUGGUCCCUAUAUUAACACAUAUUUUUUUGAAGAAUUUGUUGAUGUAGACAAGUAUGGGGUAACAUGUGGAGAAAUAAGGAGACAACACAUUGAUUCAUCUUUAACUAUUCUUAAAAUAUUUUAAAAGACCUUAAAUCUUUGAAAAAAAUUCAAAAGAUAUUCAAAAUUUUAAGAAAUAGUAUAAAUUAUAAAAAUUCAAAAAAUUUAAAAUUACAAAAAAUAUAUUCAAAAAUUGCAUUUUAUUUUUAUUUUAGAUAAAAUAAUUUUUUUAAAAUUUUAUGGGCCAAUCUAUAUAUUAAACCUUUUAGAAGUAGUAUUUUAUUUUUAUUUUAAUUAAAUUACUUAAUAAAUUAACUAAUAUAUCAUUUUGAUAAUUUUUGUUUAUUUCUUUCUCUCACAAUUAAAUUAAUGUCUGCUUAACUUAUAAUAUUAAAACUUAAAUUAACAUUAAAUUUUAAUUUUAUAAAAGAAUUUUUUUAAAAUUAAUUUUAUUUAUAAAAUUUUAAUUUUUUAAUAUUACUUGUCCAACUAAAUGCACUCUAUCGGACCUAAACCAAGCUUGGAUAAACAAAAUUUGAUCUCAAGUUGACCAAAUCCAAAACAAAAUACUAUUCAUUCAUUAAAGAUUAAAAUAUGCUAUGUACAAUUCUAAAUUUGGAAUUUAAUCCAUUUACUUUUAUUUUAAGGAAUUUAAUCCUACUUUUUGGAUUUAAAAAUGCAACAACUUCAAUAGUUAAUAUUAUUAAUUUUUUUUUGUUAAAUUAAUAUUUAUUACAAUAUCAUUUUUAAAAUGUCAUAAUAACAAAUUUAAUGGAUAAAUUUUAACAAUAUUAACAAUUAAAUUUAAAUUUUGAAUCUAAAAAAUAGAGAAAUUAAAUUCUUAAAAAUUAAAAUAAAACAAAUUAAAUUCUGAAUAUAGAAAAAGUAAAUAUUAUGUUAUUAAAUCAUACAACUAAUUUGUUGAAAUAUAAAUGUAAAUAAUUUUUUUUAAUGAAAAAUUAUUUAAGAUCAUGGUCCAUACAUCAUUUAUGGAAGAUAUUUUCUAUGAUAUAAUGACAAAAUUUUAGAAACAAUAUAAAAUGAUAUAGUACUUGUCAUGUGAAAUGCAAUCAUAAAAUGCACAUUUAUUAUUUAUUAUUUAUAAAUAUUUAAACAUUGAAUAAGUUCAAAGAGUGCUGAGAAAAUGAAAUGUAUACUCCAUAUGUAUAGUUUAACAACUUGAAGGUUUACUUAUAUACAAAUAUAUACCAUAAACUGCCCAAAAAAUCUUCCUACAUUAUUUACAUCAUCAUAUAAUAUAUUGUAACCAGAGAAUGGAGAAAUGAGUUGCAGAUGUUGAAACUCGAAACCUAAUUACAUGAAUUCCCGGAUUUCGGAUUAGAUUCGGGGAAUUGUAUGGUACUAGGAAUAAGCAACUAGAAGAUGGACGCUGUAUCAGACAAGCUGAUGUUCCGAUCUGAUCGACUUGUAACAAUGGGGUUUCCUAAAGCAUCAAGAUCAAUAACGGCUGUUUCACCGGGACUGUAAUUUCCAGCCAGGAGGGCUUCACUUAGGGGAUCUUCGACUAUUGCGGUAACUGCCCUCCUGAGGGGCCGUGCACCGUAGGUCUGGUCGUAGCCUUGCUGACAAAUGAGGUCCUUGAUUGAUUCAGACACCUCUAAACCGAUUCCCAGUGAUAUGAGUCUAGCAUUAACCUCUUGCAACAUCAGGUUUACAAUCUCGAGCAUCUGAAAAGAAACCGGAUAGAUGUGACCAACAGCAUUUUGGUAUAACAUAAUCCGAGAUCCCGGUAAAUUUUCAAGUUCAAAGUGAUGGAGAUCUAUGUAGCAUGGAUUUAGGGGCACACAGAAUAUGACUAGGAGUCAAAUUACAUUUUAACCCUUUACUCAAAAAAUGAGUAAAUUAAUCGUUGUACGUUAGUUUAAAGAACAAAUUGGUCAUUUCUGUUAAAAAUUUCAUCCAUUCAUACGGUUAAAAAAUAAUGUAGUUGACGGAAUAAUUAGAGAGUUACACAUGGCAUGCUACAUGUACCUCAUGCCAACAUACAGGACCAAUUUUUAAAGGUAGAAAUGGAUGAAUUUUAACAGAAUGAUCAGUUUGCUCUUCAAUACUAAUUUGCUUAUUUUUUAAAUAGAGGGAGCAAAAUGCAAUCUGAAGGCCUUCAAGGUACUUUUACUUUAAUCAACAAAAAGGCACAAACCUGAGGUUUCUCGAGAGAUCGAAAGACAACUACUUCAUCAAUCCUGUUGAGUAACUCGGGACGGAAAUAUGCUUUCAGUUCCUCCAUUACCAGAGCCUUCAUUCCAGCAUAUGAAGAAGAUUCAUUAUUCUCGAGCAAGAAACCAAUGGAGCUACGUCUACCCUUUGCAAUCGCAGAAGAACCCACAUUCGACGUCAUCACUACCAAUGCAUUCUUGAAAGAAACUCUUCGACCCUGAUUAACAGAAUCUCAAAUGAGAGACAUCGAUAAUCAACUAAUAUCAGCCGCGUAUAGAUGAUGAUAAUGUCGCAAACAAGUUCAAUUGACAACGAACGAACCUGUGAAUCUGUGAGGUGACCAUCUUCAAACAGUUGGAGAAGGAUGUUGAAUAUAUCAGGAUGGGCUCUCUCUAUUUCAUCGAGCAAUAACAACGUGAACGGUCGUCUUCUAAUAGCUUCCGUAAGCAUACCUCCCUCUUCAUAACCGACAUAACCAGGGGGUGAUCCUAUUAAUUUACUCACUGUAUGUCGCUCCAUGUAUUCACUCAUGUCCAAUCGAAGCAUGGCAUCCUCCUGCAAUGAUGGCAUUAGAGGACGGAAGAAAAGAUAGCUUAGUGUUAUGGGGCCAAGUCAUACAUUACCAAAAAACAAACCUUACAUAACAUUUUCAAAUAAACGGGUAUCCUUUCGUGCCUAGUAUCUAGGAUGGUGGAAUCUUUAAUUCCAUUAUAGUGGAAUCCAGUGGAAUCCUUUUAAAAUCAACAGUUUUGGUUAAAAGACAGAAAUGAAAAGACUGUAACUGUUUGAUCAAACCAUGUCAAAAACUAAAAAAUUGUAUUGAUGACCUGGAACCUGUUAACCGGUUACCGAAAAUGUUAGUUUUUCUCUGGAAAUCAGUUUAUCUCUUUCUUUAGUGUUGAAAUCGGUUGAAUUCCUUAACAGGUAAAUUCACAUUUCUCAAUGCAAAUCCUCCAUGGCAUGAUCAACAAUGGAUUGGUAUAUCUAUUUCUACCCGUUUAUUUCAACCAUUGAUUUAAAAAGGAUUCCAAGAUAUCCCACUACAAUAAGAUCUCACCUUAGACAUUACCAUCUAGGACAUAUCAAAAUUACACAACUCAUAAGUAAAUUAAUGGGACAAAUAAAUAAAAGGAAUGAAUAGCAUGAAGCCUUACCGACCCAAAAUAGCAUGCCGCUAAGGCUUUUGUUAAUUCGGUUUUGCCAACCCCGGUUGGACCACAAAAGAUCAUUGCAGCAAUUGGUCUAUCAAGAUCCUUUAGGCCAACGCGGGAUCUCUUAACAGCUCGAGUAAUGGCAGCAACAGCUUCGUCCUGACCAAUAACCCUUUUCUUAAGCAUCUCAUCAAGGCAAAUUAGAAGCAUUCUUUCAUCUGCAGUGAGCUGCUGCACUGGUAUCCCUGACCAAAUCGAAGCAACUGCCGCGAUUUCUUCAGGUCCCACCAUUAUAGGUCUGAAAGAAUCACCUCAAAAAAAAUUAGUUAGAAACCAGACAAAGCUAGACGACCAAGAAGCUAAUAUAUCUAACCUUCAGCAUGACCCGGCAAGAGAAAAAAAAGGAACAUACCCAUCGUUCUCUGAAGUAGAAGGCAAAGGAGAUUCUAGGAGUUCACUGGAAUCAUCCACACUGAAAGCACCGGCAUUGUUUUUCAACCUGCUGGCAAUGACCUAUUCAUGACAGAAUUGUCGAAAGGAGGUUAGGGUCUUAAAGCACAUCAGAAGCUAGCGUACGCACAAGGUCAAAGAUAUUACCACUUCAUGCAUGGCUUGAACAGUUCUAAUUUCUUCCCAAUAAUCGUCAGGUGCUUUUGAGAGAAUAUCAGUUUCUUGCUCUCUUUUCCUCCUAAAUGCUUCAAUACGAGCUCGGCUUCCAGCUUCAUCAAUGAGGUCGAUUGCUUUAUCGGGAAGAUACCUGUCAGGAAUAUAUCUUGCUGAUAGGUACACAGCAGCAUUGAUUGCUUCUAGAGUGUAUCUGCAGUGGUGAUGAGAUUCGUAUUUUUCGCGUAGACCAAGCAGUAUCCCGACUGCAUCCUCCUAUCAGGUAGCACAUUACAUCCAAAUAAGGAAAGAGGGAAAUAGAUAGUAACUUUUAGUAUAGAUUGGAUUAAAAACAACCUGACUCGGCUCGUUGAUCCAUACUGGCUGAAAUCUUCGUGCUAAUGCUUUAUCCUUUUCAAAUUGGGUCCUAUAUUCCCCUAUAGUUGUUGAUGCGAUGCACUGCAAAAGAUGUUGUAUUAGUGCUUGAUAAAGAAAUGCACCAUAAUAAGAAGAAAACAAUGUCUACUCCUAUGAAAAAGCCUUCUAUGAGAAAAGGGAUUGGACUCCAUUAGAAGGAAAAAGGGUCCCACCUUUUCAUUCGAAGAAGUAAUCCAGAUGUGUUAAAGAUGUUAUUGUUUGAUUUAUAUGGGUAAAGUACCAUGGAGGCCCCUCUACAUAAAAAUUGGGCAAAAUAGUCUCUAUACGCUAGAUCAAAGAGCAAACUAGUCCUUCUAUUAAAAAUUUCAUUCAUUUCUGUUGUUAAAAACUGGUCGAAUGAAAAUUUUAACUAAAAGGACCAAUUUACUCUUUGAUCUAACAUAGAAGGGCUAACUUGCCCAUUUUUUGAGUAAAUGAGGUAAAAUGCAAUAUAACUUCUAAUACAGGAACCUCCAUGGUACUUUUACCAAUUUAUAUGUCAUCUUCAUUAACUGCAGUAAACAUCAUGCCUAUGUUUUUGGCAUAUAAGGUUCUAUGUGAAAAUUACAGUUUGAGAAAUAAUUACCUGUAAUUCACCCCUACCAAGUGCAGGCUUCAAUAGAUUCGCAAUGUCAAGACCAGAUCCCUUGUUUCCACGGCCAACCGUACCAGAUCCAAUAAGCGUGUGGACUUCAUCGACAAAAAGAAUGAUAUUACCUGAGGAACAGAUAUACCAAGUAUGAGAGAAACAAUAAAAUAGAUUCCAGCUCUCGAAAAAGCAACUUCUCAUUGUAGGCACCUGAUUUUUUUGUCUCACUUAGCAAAGCAGUAACACGUGCCUCUAACUCUCCCCUCUCCUUCGCACCGGCCAUGAGCAGUCCUAUGUCCAAGGACAUUAUUUUUUUAUUCUGUGCACAGUAAGCGCAAUAAAUCAAUACACUUCGAAGACACAACCUCAAUAGAAGUAUGACAAGAAGCAUUUGGAUUGAUUUGUGAAGAGGCGGACCAAAAGAAAUGCUGGGAUUUCUGCUUGUGCGAUACUAGUCGCAAGUCCUUCAGCAAUGGCUGUUUUACCAACCCCACUUUCACCAAGAAGAAUCGGGUUAUUCUUAAUUCGGCGACAAAGUAUCUGUACAAUUAUUUGAACUUCAGUCUCUCUGCCAAUAACAGGGUCAAUAAGUCCCUCACUUGCACGGGCUGUAAGAUCGAUACAGAAUUGAGCUAAAGCACUUUUCCCUGACAAUUACAUAUGAGGAACAAAGCAUUACCUUCUGUUAUUCUAAAAAAAAAAAACAUAACUAUACAAAAAGAAAAGGAUUAGAUCAAAUUUUUACCUUUUGUCUUGUCAGGGGACCUCAAAACAGCAGCAUUACCAGAUGAAGAUUUUUCACUCAUCUUUUUUGAUGAUAAUGAAGGUUCCCUACCAUCUUUUGCAAGCUCCCCUUGUAAUCUGGUGACUGCUUCAGCUGCCAAGUGAUUUAUAUUUGCUCCCAAUCUGAGAUUUUUAGCACAAAAGUUAAUGAAAUGAAACUUGUUUUGUCUUUUAGACCAAAAUGCUCAUGCAGAUGUGCAUCACUUGGCAGAAAAACCAAGCAAAAAUGACUUGUCUCUAUAAUCAAAUGUUAUAUAAAAUUAAUGACAUAAAUUUCUUUAAAUUGUAAGAACUUAUGCUCUUUUUGUAUGAAUAUCAUGAUGAAACAACAAAAUUCAUGCUUUUUCAUGAGCUUCUGAAUUAACUAUCAAAUACUAUGAAGCUUAUAUUUGCUCCCAAUCUGAGAUUUUCAGCACAAAAGUAAAUGACAUGAAACUUGCAGCGUCUUUCAGACCAAAAUGAAAAUGCUCAUGCAAAUUUGCAUCACUUGGCGGAAAUCAAGCAAAUAACUUGUCUCCACGAUCAAAUUUAUACAAAAUUAAUGACAUAAAAAAUCUAAACAAAGUCAAAUGUGUUCUUUAAAUUGUAAGAACUAUGCCCCUUUGCAUGAAUAUCAUAAUGAAACAACGGAAUCCAAGCUUUUCAUGAGCAAUACAGCACAUGUUGAUUAUAUAUAUAUAUAUAAACAUGUUCCAUUAACAAAUAAAAAUAAAAAUGCUCAUUUUAAAAGGAAAAAAAAAAAACCUUUUUAGGACACGACUAGCACUUCCAUCAUCAACGGUAAAUAAACCAACAGCAAUAUGUUCAGGGGCAAUAAAAUUAUAACCCAUAGUCCUUGAAUACUCCACAGCAGCUUCAAAAACCCGUUUUGUGCUUAUGGAAAACGGUACAUCCGUUGAAGAAACAAUAGACCCUUGUUGUUUAUUAUCCAAAUCCUCACCAUGGUUACUACUUUGCCAAAUGCUACGAACAGCAUCACGAGCAUUCUCAAUUUUCAAACCUGACCCUAAAAAACCAUUAGGGUCACGAUCUUCACCAAUCAAACCCAACAAAAGAUGUUGGGUAAAAACCAUGUCUUUACCAAGAGAUUUGGCUUCUCUUUGAGACAAGAUCACGGCUUUGAUUGCUCGUUCUGUAAAACGCUCAAAAACAGCAGAAAUUUGAAUGGGUUUUCUUCUUUUAAAAGAAUGAGGGUGUUUAACAUGAUGAACAAAGUUAUUACAACGAGAGAUUGAGAGACCAAAACAAGAACUUGAAGAAGAAGAAUAAAUUGAAUUGUUGAAAUAAAAAGUUCGAUGGAAACGAAAAGGGAAACGUGGAGGUGAUGAAGGAAAUAUGGAACGUGAAUGUAAAUGAAUUGCUAAUGAAGAAGAACAUAAGACAUCCAUAUCUUUUUCCAGACAAAAAAUUGUGGGUAGUUUUGCCUUAAGCUACACGAGUUUCAUUAAGGAUAAAAAGGAAGAGAAGAAAGGAGAAAAUAUAGGUUGAGUUUGAGAUGAUGUCCAAUCGAAAUUGAAGGAUAUUUUCUUGGCUGUGCUGUCGAAGGAAAGAGAGGAGGAAGAAAGGGAUGGAGUAGAAGUGUAGGCUUGACACGUCAAGCCACCAUUUCUUUUUUGGUCAAAAAAUGGGUUUCUUUAGAGGUUAAAUUCUGUUAUUAGUCCCUGUAUUUUAUAAAAUUUUUGGAUUUAGCUUCAUAUUUUAAUUUGAUUAUUCUUUAUACUUUUCAAAUUUUAAAAUUUCAGUCCUCACGAAAAACAUUAAAUUCAUUAAAAUUUUAUACCGCAAACAUAUUAUUAUAUAUAUAAUAUUAUGUCAAUUUAUUAUUUUUACGUAUUACUUAUUAAAAUUUUAAUUAAUAGAUUAACGAUCAUUAUUUAAGUGAAAAUUAAAAUUUUAAAUUUCAAAACUUAGAACGAUUCAUUGAAUAAUGUAGACUAAAUCAAUAAUUGUAAGUAUGGUACAAAACAGUGACUAAAUUUAAACAACCAGGUUUAAUAGCUACUGUUUGGAUCAGGUUUAAUAGCUACUGUUUGGAUCAAUACUAAAAUUUGAGAAAUAUAAAGACUAAAAUAGACCGAGAAUUAUAGUACUAAAUUUAAUCAAAUUAAAAUAUUAAGACUAAAUCUAUAAUUUUACAAAAAUAAAGAAUAAUAGCAGAAUUUAACUUUUUUUAGAAAAUAAAAAAGUCCUACUUUUUAGUAAAAGCCUUUGGUUUAAGACAAGUCACCCCACUGAAGUAAAACAAGCAAAGAAUAUAUCUUCCAAAGGUUGUUUUGUUCAGAGACAAAAGUGCCAAAGUACUUGCCUGACAUAGCCAAAAACUUUUGGCACCGUCGAGAAUCGGCGCAAGGUGCACCGUUGAGGUUGGUUUUGGGCUCAGAAUCUUCCUUGAAGUAAACUCUGUACCAAUCUUUCAAGGAGAUAGAUUAUGAAAAGCUGAAUACGUAAUUUGAUAUUUGUGUUAAUUUUUUAUAUAAUUUAUGAUUUUAUAUUUAACAAAAGUUAUAUAUUUUAAUACAUGAAGGUAAUAAUAUUAUUUUUUUUAUUAUUUUCAUUAGAUUUUAGAGUUAAUUUGAUGAAACUUUAUAAUUAGCUAAUAAUAUCAACAAUUAAUUUCUUAAUCAACCUUAAAGUCUGGAUUAAACUACUCACAUAUGGUUGUACUUAAUAAAUUAAAUACAAAAUUAAAUAAAUUCACAAUUGAUACUAAAUUUAUUCUAUUAUCAAAAUCAUUAAACAUUCAAACCUAAUAAUAUUAGCAAUUAACUUUUACUAAAUUAACUUUAAAAAUCGAAUUAAAUAUUAAAAAGUUAACAUCAUUACUUUUGAGUACCCAAAUAUAUUUUUAUCAAAUAUAAGUAUCAAAUUGGACUAAAAAAUAAUUUAAAAAAUUAUUAAAUUAUUUUAAAAAAUUAUUUAAGUUAUUAGGCAUUUAUAUACGUACACAUAUAUUUUAUUUUGAGAAAUGAGUGAUAAGAAGAUGGACUUGCACCCUCGAUUUGAAAUCUAAAUAUGAUAUUAACGGAUUUUAAAUUAGCGAGACAUUGUUACUAGAUCAAUAACUUAUUGGUUAUUCAUUACCAUUCAAUAAAAUAUUAAAAUACAAUGACAAAUUUAUCUUUUAACAUCUAUCUAUUUUAUCAAUUUGACUUUUUAAAAAUUUUUAGUUAAAUUUGAUCAUUUACUUUUUAAAAAGAGUCAAAUUUAAUCAUCAAUGUUUAAAAAAGAGUUGAAUUGUUGUUUUUUAACAGAAAUACUAACUAAAAUGUUAAAUUUUUAAACAUAACAAUUCGCAUGACAAUCAUCGUGCUCUUUAUGCAACUUUUUUUUGAAUUUUUUAUAAAUUAAAAAUUUUUGUUAACUUCGCAUAUAAAACAAAUAGUAUCAUGUCAACAUAAAGUAUAUGUGAAUUAUCAUACAGAUUGUCACACCAAUAUCUUUAAAAAAUUCAUAUUUUAAUAAGCAUUUCUAUUAACUAUUACGAUUUGAUUUUUUUUAAAGGUUAAUAAUCAAGUUUAACUAAAAAAUAAAUAUUAAAUUAACAAAAUAAAUAAAUAUUGAAGGAUAAAAUUAUUAUUAUUCCUAACCUAAAUUAUCACUCAAGUAAGAUUUUCACAAUUCAUUUCCAAGAAUAGAACCAUAAUAUCGCCAACUUAUAGAGGCUACGGUCUUUCUGAACUAAGCACCAAAUUGAGUAGUGAUAAAAUUCAGCUCAACCAGUUCAUCCUCUCCAAGAAUUCAAGGAAGUUAAGUGAUUAAAUUGCAUGUUCAAGUUCACUCAAAAGCACCUUUUAAAACAUUGAAAACUCAAAAACCUGAGAUGCAGGGUUCAGCAAGGGACAAAGUCAAAAAAUUGCUUUAUAGACCCAGAGAAGAAUCAUAAAUUAUUGGGGGUUCAAAGUGUAACUUUACCAUUAUACUAACAUAUAAUUUCAUAAAAUUUUAGGAAGUUAAAUGAAAAUCUACCAUUUUUGAGGGGCCAAGGCUUCUACCUGCCCCUUUUGUCUUCGUCUCCAUUCAGCCAAGGACGAGGCUAGAAAAUUACUGUAGGGGGCCAGAGAAGAAUCAUAAAUUAUUAGGAAGCAAAAAUAAAAUUUUACUAUUAUACUAAUAUGUAAUUUUAUAAAAAAAUUAAAGAGUUAAAUGGUAAAUCUACCAUUUUUGAGGGACCAAGGCGUCUGCCUACCCCUAUGUCUUCGCCCAUGAAUUCAGCCUUGGUUGCUACCAAUAAUCAUUGCAUGAGCAAGUUCCAUCUUGAAAGUGAUGGAACCUAUAUGCAUCCCUAACAACAAUCUUCCUCCCAUAAACAUAAGAGACAAACUUGAAUGCUGAGUAGCAAUCAUUGCAGAUGCGUAGAUUAUUUGUAACUUGAACACUCAUUUCUGGAUCAAUCUUCAUGAUUCCAAAUGCCAUAGCUAGCUUUUCACUGUGAUAGUUUAGAAUAUGUUCUUUAUCUUCAUCGUCCAUGUCGUGCAGGACGCAUGAAAGGUUCGGAACAUACCCUACCAUCUUAAUCUCAGCUGCCAAGCUCUCUACUUUCCCAUAAACUUCUUGCCAAUAUGGAUUCACUUAAUCAGCUGAAUGGAAGCCGUAAACCUCAUUACCGAGCUCAACCACGCUGAAUGCUGAAUUCUCAAUCUUAUAUCUUUCAUAUUUUGUCUCAACUUCACUACUUCUGGCCAUCUGUUAGAGGCUGCAUAUAUGUUUGACAUUAGUAUAUAGUAUCCGGCAUGCUUCAGUUCAAGUUCUUACAAGCUUCUUGCGGCCAGUUCAGUUAAUUCUGUAUCCCCAUGAAUUCUGCAAGCCAAAAGCAAAGCACCCUAAACACCAUCGUUUUUUGGUAUCGUUAUCUGUUGAACCAUAUCGAAAGCUUGGUUGAGUAAUCCAGCUCUGCCUAGUAUAUCAACCAUGCAAGCAUAGUGUUUCACCCGGAGGCUUUCGGAGUGCUUUUUCAUUUCUGCAAAACAUUUCCUCCCUUCAUCGAUAAGACCGGCAUGACCACAGGCGGAUAAUAGAGAGGUAAAAGUAAUAUGGUCUGGCUUAAUGCCUGUUUGUUGCAUUUGUGAGAAGAGAUUCAAUGCUUCUUUCCCAUAACCAUGCAUGUCAUACCCAGAAAUCAGCACAUUCCAUGAAGUGAUAUUCCUUUCUGUAGGAGGAAUAUCAUUAAAUAACCUGGUAGCAGUGUCUAAAUCUCCACAUUUAACAUACAUAUCCAUCAGGGCAUUGCAUAUAUUUGCAUCGAUUUUAAUCCUUUUAUAACAAAAUCGUGGAACUUCCUUCCUAAAUGUUGAGAGCCUAAAUAAGCACAGGCAGAAACCAUGAUCAACUUUGUUACUGGAUUAGUGAAAGCCUCAGAAUCCAACAUCACCUCAGAAAGAAACAAAGCUUCACUAGCUUGACCAUUUUGACUGUAUCCUAAGAUGAUAGAAUUCCAUGAAAUAACAUGUCUUUCCUCCAUCAAAUCAAAAACCAGUCGAGGCAAGCUCACAUUGCCGCAUUUUGCGUACAUGGCAAUAAUUGCAUUCCCAACAGAGACAUACUUUAAAUAACCAUUACAAAUGGCAUAAGAAUGAACUAUUUUAGGUCAUUGACCAACAGCAGAGGCAACACUCACAAUUGUCACUGAAUCUGACAAAACACCGUGAAGUUGCAUAUAUUGGAACAACAGAAGAGCCUUAUCCGGCUGUUCAGCCUGUUCAUAGGCCGUGAUCAUGGCAGUCCAGCUAACAAGAUCCCUCAUUGGCAUUUUAUUGUAUAUCCCUCAUUGCAUACAUGGUUACUAAAGCAGCGUCCACCUAGAAAUCCAAAUCAAACCCAGUUCUUAUAACAUCCUCAUGAGCAACUUUCCCUUCAAGAACCAAGGAUUUUGAAGCGCAUGCUUUAAGAACAAAUCGAAAAGUGUAGUUAUGUCAAGGGCCAGUUUGAAAUUCUGUUAUUAGUUGCGUUUUAAUGUUAGAAUUGUUAUACGGUGAAUUUUGGGAGAGUCGGUACGAGGCGUUUUGUAUUAGUGAUUCGGGUGCGUUUUAGUUAAGUCAUUUAAGUAAAACCGGGCGUUUUAUUAGCCCAGCUGUCGAGAUAACAGCUAACUGUAUUUCAAUUGUUCCAACGACUUUCUCAGCCAUUAAAACAUCAAUGUCGAAAUGGGGGUGGUUAUGCCUUCCGUUAUGGAAUGAAAUUACUGUGUUUCUCUUCUCCGAUCUCUCUUUUCUCUCUUCUUCUCUAUUCUCUCAGUCAGUCAAGAUCGCCACCGUAUCAAGUUAUUGGGACGCAUAAGAGGAUAUAACUCCAACACUUCGACGUGGCAACCACCAUUCGCAUAUGCCCGAAUCAUUGUAUUCCAAAGAAAAGAAUAGGGCUUAUCACCACGGAUACUAUCGAACAAUGAGCAAGCACUGUUGUGUUCACCAAAUUUGGCAUUUUUUAUGAUAAUUUGAGCACCCAAAUGAGAAUUAUAAUUGAUAAUGCCUGAAAUAGUAAGAGAAGAGUGCUCCUGUUUGAGUGAAGCCAAGCUGUUGCAGAUAUCAAGGAGCCCAUUGUAAACGUUCUCUAUCAAGUCAAGAAAUGAACUGAAGGCAUAUGUGGAGUUGAAUAAAUGUAGAUAAGAAGGGUUUAGGCGACGCAUAAUUUCAAAGUGAAGAUCAAAGCAAUUCGUACAACAGGUAUGAACAAUCAAAAUCUUACAAAAUGGAUCUCACGAUCCAUGUAAUUCAUAUUCCUACAAUAAAAGCACUAGGCUGUGGUCUUUUUCUUUUUCCUUUUACAGUAUAUAUAUGAUACAUAAUGAAUUAGACAAGGGAUAUAUAAUGUCUUGGCCAUAAAAAUCUCGAAUGUUACAGGUUAUAAUGGAUGCUGAGGCCGGAUCAAGAACUCUGAGAUGAGUCAACCUGGCUCCAGAGCUUCUCGGCAUAUGUUUUAUCUUCUUCUUUCUCCUCUAUGACAUAAUUAGUUGCUUCGUUUACUUCCUCGUUGUCUUCAUCUGAUACCUCUUCCGUCAUAUUUUCUGUAAUUUCUACUUCUGCAAGGCUCUUUGCUUCUCGUUCUGAAAGUUCAGCUAAUGCCUCCCUCAUAGCCUGUGCUGUUGCUGGUCUGUCUUUUGGCCCGUAUUUCGGUGCAGGCACAACAAAUGGUAAGGCAACAUCAUCCAACUUCGUUCUAUUUUGGUUAGCAAUGCACUUGGUCUCCAUUGGAGGAAAUACAAAUAUGAUACCAAGUUCAUAGUUACAGACGUGAAGCCUUGAAGUGGAGUUGGUCUGAGCAAGUCCACUAGCUUUUAUACCAACUGAACUGGAAAUAGGUCUUCCCCAGGCAGCUGCACUAAAAUUAUGAGACCCACAGUAAACCCAACCAGAUGAAGAUGAGCUUGCCUUGGACCAGAAGCGCCUCCGUGCCACCUGCUUGAAUUUGCAUUUUAUUCAUUAACCUUUUCCCCUAAAAACAUUGAAUUGUGCAAGCAUUUGGCAAUGUGAAGAAACAAUGCUAAUAUAAACAGACUCCAGAUGUUUGAAUUGUUUGUUCAAGAAAUUUUCUGAUAAUUCAAAAAGCAGGUAAAUCACCUUUACGUGCAUUGGAUGCCCUACUCUAUUCGAGGGAGAAGGAAUUGCAUCAUGUAGUAUACCCACAUUUCUCAAUCUUUGCCAUGUUUUCUGAACAAAGAAAUGUAUGAUUAACAGAAGUGUGAAAAAAAUAAUCCAGGAAAUUACAACUGUUACACAUAGGGACAAGUGUGUUGUUACAACUUGACACAAAUUACCUUUUUGAAGACUUAACAUAUCCCUAUUUGUUGGACCAUCAGUUUAUAGUCCCAUGUCAACAGACUUUUGCCAACCAUUUAGAUUUAGAUCAUUUAAGUACUGAGUUCUAAUCCAUAGUUUUGGUAGACCUUUGCACUCUAGGAAGGAAGAAACAUAUGUUCUACCACUAGUAAUGCUUUUCAUAUGAAGUUGGAGAUGAAUCAUGGUUCUUUUGGUCAACCUAGGAUUUAAACACUUGUCAAGAAAAGCUGCACACUGAGGUCACGGUAACAGAGACCUUACCUCUGAAAAGAAAAGAAUUCGCCUUGAAGGAGAGAUGCCAGAACAUGCAUUUUUCACCUGCUCGAUAGUGGGAAAAAUAAUUCUAAUGGAUGGAUUUCUCAAUUCUUGACUAGUAGUCCAGCCGCCCCACUGUCAAGUAACACCAUAUUACUGUGUGUACAUACAUAUUUAAGAGCAUGAUGUUCAACAUUUCAUGCAUAAAACCAAAUCAAUGUAAGUUACCUCUGGAUCAGACUCCUCUGAAUCAAAAAUUUGUGACGACUUCUUUCCAACAGAUGCGGCAAAAGCAGCUAGAAACGGUGCACUGACAGAUGAACCAAUUGAGGAUGCACCUUGAAAACAAAAGAUAUAUCAGACAAAACUAAUAACAAGACAAGUAGGUUGCUAAAUUUUGAAGGGAAGAAAAAGUUACCAUAAAUGAAAUCAGACUCUUGUGAUUCAGGCCAAUUGUAUUGACCUAAAACCUAUAAAAAAAAAAAGGAGAAAAAAAGAAGAAGAGAUUUUAAGAUAAUUAUCAAAUGUUUCCAAGUAACAUAACCUCAUACAGAUACAUCAUACAAUAAAUUAUUUCAUUCUGUAUGACUGUAUCUACCAAAAUGCAGGCAAGUUUUUUAUUUCAGACACUGACCAGAAAUGAAGAUUCAACAAUCAUGUUGCUUGCUUGACUAUUGUAGAAACAAGCAACUAUAAAAGUGCUAGUAAUCAUUUAGUGGUUUUAAGAUACAAAUACAGCAUGAAACCGUAUUUUGAAAUACAGAUUUGCGAUAAUAAGUCAUAAUGACAUAUAAUUAACACCAGCAGUCUAGAAUUACAAUAAUGCACAAAAUGAAAUUCAUAGAAACAUGACUAUAAUUUGGAAUGAAGCCACUAAGUUCAUUACCUCUUGAAGUCGCCAAAGGCCUGUACACCUCUGAACUGACGCAAUGAGAGAGCAUAAUGCAGCAAUAUUUUGAUCUUGCAUCAUUUUUGACAUAUCUAAAAAACUUGGCCCCUACACAAAUCAAAACAUGUUAAAUAGCUUCAUUACAAAUAAGAACAGAUACCAUCUGUGAUACCACAAAUUAUAUAACAUGAUAACAUCUCAAAUAAAUAGCCAAAAUACCAUGCCUGUAACACAUGCAGUAUCAACUGUACUUUCUUGUUGUUCCCACCAAAUGUAGCUGUAAUGGCUUCUUCACGACAUACAUAUCCAUGAAAUUCAAAAAGUCCAAUAUCCCAUAAUGGAGAAACCCAUUUUGCGACAUUCCGCGGCAAAAAACCAAGUUGAAUGCAAUCUAUGCCAGCCACAACAAGAAACAUAAUGAGGGGAAAAGGGCAUUAGCAACAAAUGGCUGUGUUAACCUCAAACAGUUACAACAAUUAUAAAAGUCCGUGAUGGUGGUAGCUAAGAUGAAACUUUGAAGUCAACAAAAGUACCAAAUCUCAGUAAACAAGAAAUAUGUUAGCAACAUAACUCCAUAUCCACACGGUUUCUGAUAAAUAAAGAUGAUCUCAACUAUGAAGCAGCUACUAGUUUCAGUUCUUUUUAAAGUAACUAAACCAUGGAACUACUGAUACAUCCAUACUAUGUAAAGUGUAUCCCAUGCACUAACUUUUAAAUGGUCCAAAGUCUAAAUCAAGUUAUCAGAAAUUUACCUCCUGAAGAGAUUUUAUCAGGGUUAGGAACAAGAACACUCACAGCAUUCUCAUCCGCAGGGAUGUUUGUGUUUCUUCUCAAAACAACAUUUAACAUCCCAUUUGCGUUUUCACAAGUUUUGCCAAGAAAGAGCGCCAGUUUCUUAAGUUGUGCACCAUUCCUGUCUGCUGUAGUGCGAAAAAGGUGGCUUAAACCAACCACAGACACUUCAACCAGACCAAGGAACUUCGCAUCCAAUGAUGAGGGUGUUAUCUGAUUAGCCUGAAAUGAUAGAAAACAAGGCUUCUUCCUAUCAUUGAACCUAAUAUAAAAUACAUGUAAAACACCAAGGACUAGCUCGUCACACAAACACCAAAAACCUACCUCCAUCUUAAGGUUGAAGCAAUACUUUAUGAAUGCCAUAUAUUCCAAUUCAUAUUUUAUACAAGGAAAUAGUCAAAACAAUAUUAAAAAAGGUGAGCCAGCUCAGCAUUCAAGAGUCCACUUCACAGAACAAAAUAAGAAUGGAAGAGUGUUAAAUGUGUGAGUUACGAUACCUUCAAUGCUCUGUCUGAAUGCAUUCCAGGUACAGAAGCAACCAGGUAUCCCAUAGCAUUGGUAAAGUCAUAAUUAGUCAACUCAACAAUCCAAUGAGACUGACCAGGUACAUCAACAAUAAGAGAUGCCAUAAAGCCAGCUAGCUGAGCAGCGAAGUCAGAUCUUGAAUUACUCAUUUCUCCAUAAGAAAUUGAAAAGAGAGACAAAUAAUCAGGUUCCCUUCUACGCGGAAAAUCUUGCCACCAAACAGUGUUGGUUACAUUCUCCCACUGCAGUAUCCAAAAGUGCUAAUAUAAAUAAAUAAUAAGAACUAAGCAAGAACAAUAUCAGCAUAAUUGAAAAACUAAACAACAAAUAACUGCAAAAAAUUGAGCAGCUAGCACUUUUCUGAGUAAAAUAAAUAAAUAGCCAGCAUUUUCAUAGAGAAAUCAACAUAACAUCUUUCCAAGCAAAUAUCUCAAGUAUCCAGGCAAAUUUAACCCACCAAUUGACAUCCCACCCAAAAAAAUUGAGGAAGUCUACUUUUUACAGAAUAAAAAUCCCCCCUGCAUCAGCAAACUUCAGGAAUAAGGUGAUUUGUCUAAAAUUUGGCUUCAGUUAUUAUGGUGAAGAGGAACACAUAUGCAUAAGACAUGCAUUCUUGAGAAAAAGAGAUAGGGACAUAGUGAACUCCAUCAGUAUAAAAGGAGAUAAACCAAAAAUUAUAGUCUACUACUGUUUAAAACAUCGUGAUAGAACUCCGAUAAACAAAAACAUUGAGGUAACUAAAUUAUGAAAACAGAACUUACAUCUGCACAAAUCUGCCAUGUCUUAUUUAACAUACAGCAAAAACAUAGAUAAAAAUCAAAUCACUAGACAUUGAAAAAAAAAAAUGUAAUUACCUGUUUUGCAGCUAAAUUAGCAUUAGUAAUGACAGCAUGGAUACUUUUUUCUCUUCACAGGACAAGCAAAGGGAAGAUAGUAUACAUGUUGUCAUUACUUCUGCUAAUUUAGUUGCAAAAGGAGGUAGACUAAAGCAUAUAGUCCACCACUGUUUAAACAGCAGGAUACAGAACUCUGAUUAAGAAAAUAUUGAGGUAACUAAAUCGUGAAAACAAAUCUUACAUCUGCAUGAAUCAGCUAUGUUUUAUUUAUUAUAUAGAAAGAACAAUAAAACAUACUCCCUCUGUCCCAAUUACAAUGUCACAGUUGACUUUUAUGGAUCACUUUUUUUAACUUUAACUUCAAUUAUUUUAAAUAUUUUAAUUAAUUAAAUUUUAUAAAAUAUAUCUAAAAACUAUUUCAUUGAGAUUUUUAAAAUGUAUAUCAAUAAUAAAUUUUAAAUAAGUCAAAGUUGAAAAUUUGUUACCACCAAAAGUCAAAGGUGACAAGUUUAUUAGGAUGAAGGGAGUGGUUAAAAAUCAAAUCACUGAACAAAUUGACAUAAAAAAAAAAGUAAUAACCUGUUUCGCAACUAAAUUAGCAGAAGUAAUGACAAUACGGAUACUGUCUUCUCUUUGCACUACAAGCAAUUUUGGGUGAUGGCAAGCAAUUCCUCGUUGCUUGAGAUCAUUACCAAAAGCGAUAACCUCAGGGAAAGGGGGAAACCUAAUACAAUGUUGGAUUAGAAUUAGGGAAAAAUGCCAGUAUCAGCCGAUAUAACUUUUAAUAUGCUCAAGUAAAAUACUUACACUGCAACCAAGUUUGGAAAUUCAGGGAAGGGUGUGGAGGUUCUGGCAUCAGGGCUUGAGCUCCAACAUCUCUCAGCAUUAUGACAAGCAACUGUUACAGGCAGAUGGCAAGGAAUUUCACAGUGCAACAAAAACCUACCAAAAAAGACUAUUAGGUAUGGAUACAGAAAUUAUCAUGAAGAGUAUGUAGAAUUUCAAUAUAUUGAGGGGAAAAACAUGUAACUCAAUUUAUCACAUUGGUAUCACAAAACAAAAUUAACCAUUCUUUUUGGUGUAGAAAUAUGUAAAGGUAUAAAACCAAUCAUGUAAAAUACUUUCUGCAGAAACUUGUGUAGUUAUAGUGACUCUAACUGACUCUAAACAGGAUAUUCUGCGAACUUUUGCCAGUGGAGACUAAUAUAUAAGGAGAGCAAAACGAAAAGAAAAACUUUACCAUGAAAUGUCACUUGUAAAUGUAGCAAUAAAUAUCUUUGAAAUGCUUUCAACAGGAUAUAGAAGUUCUCGCAAGGAAACAACAGAAUGGUGAUUUGAUGAGCCACUAUCUGAAUAAGCAAGGCGAUUGAGGUAAAACAUCUUCCCAGGUGCCGAACAAUAGUUUAAUGAAAUCUUGCUUGUCCCAACACCAUCAACGUCAGGAUCAUUUUCUUUCUCGGGAACAUUUAUUAGUGACAUCCCGCACCUGUUAUUAGCAGCAGCGUCCUCACCACUGCAUUCAACAGGGCCCUUACUACAUGGAAGGUCACUAGGUAAAGGAUCACCAAAAAAAUCCUGGUCUAACUCUGAAGUUGCCACUUUUCUAAAAGAAUUAGACUGCACAGGUUUGUCAUUUUUAUUAGAAGAUUGUGGUUCCUGCCUGAAAAGUGGAAAGAGGCUACUAACCUCUUCUUCACUGCCUAUUGCACAUUUCAUUCUAUCACUUAAUGUCAACCCUAGAAACAUGUUCUGUCCAGAAGCUAAAAUGUCACAUUUCCUAAUGCAAGAGGUGGGGUCAUCACUGUGCAAUAUACUCCGGCACUGACUUAAAAUAAACUUGGCUCUCCCUAUAGCAUCACUAGAUUUUGAUCCAGAGAAGUUCCAACUUCUAUUCAUCUCCUUCGCUGGGAGGGCAAAAACCCUUUUGUUCCUCUUUCCACUUGACACUGUUCCUUGGGAAUGUCUUGAUGAAACCAUUGCCCCAAGUGACCGUGGCAUCCCACCAGUAACCUCAUCCAACUUGGAAACUAUUUCCUCUUUAAAAACAAUCCCUUGAAUAACAAAACCAACUCGAACCCGUAAAGUACACUCACUUUCAUUCCCACAAACAAGCAAAACCUCAUCACCAGCAAACAAUUCUCUAACCAUACCCCGUUUAACCUUAACCUUAUUCACAUAAACCCCAUUCAAAGAAACCCUAACCCUAGAAAACCCUAAAACUUCUUCCCCUUCUUUAUCUUUCUCUUCCAAUUCAUCAUCAUACAACAAAAAUCUUCUGCGAAAUUCAUUAACAAUAAAACUAAAAUCAUUCGAAAAAAUUGUUCCAUCGAGAAUAAAUAUUUUACGGUCAACACUGUCAUAUAAAAUCUGGCAAUGUUGCUUACUUACGAACCGACUGCCGAACGUGAAGUUGCAGGAACCAUUGGCUCGACCAAUAGUGUAAGGCCGGUCAGGUUCUAGGCGGAGUGAUUCGAUAGGAGAACCGGUUUUGGAAGAAAACAAAGGGACAUCGAAGCUCUUAACUUCAACUGAUGCUGAUUUUUUCAGGGUUUUUGGUUUUUUGCGAGGGAAAUGAUGAUUAUUAUCAUCGGUUCUCUUCUUAUAUUUGUUUGUUAAAUGAAAAAAUGAAUCUUUCAUAAGAAUUAUUAGGGGAAAAUUUUAUUGUAAAAUUUAUGGGAUAAAAAAGGAAUUUGAAAGAAAAAAAUGGUAAAAUAAUAGAAGAGAAAUUGAGAGGGAAAAUGAUUGAAUUGAUAAACCAUUGUUCAUGACUAUAACUGUUUAUUGGCCAAGCGGGAAAGGAUGUACAAAAUUUUUGAGAAAAAUAUUCUGUUGGAAAAUUGGUUUAGUAAAAAAAUUAAGGUAUAGGAUGUUCUCGGGUGUUAACAUUCAAAGGUUUAAGUUCGACCUAAUCUAAGCUAUUUUUUAAUUAGUAAUGGUUUAUAUUAUAUUAUAUUAUUAUAUAUUAUAUAAUUUAUACUACAUAAAAAUUAAAUAUAUAUAAAAAAAUAUGGACUAGAUAUUAUAUAUAAAUUUUUAAUAAAUAAAAAUAUAUAAAUUUAUUAAAUAUUGAAUUAAAAAUAAUAUAAAUAUAUAUUUUUUAAAUUUUUAUAAAAUAAUAUGAGUAUGCAUAAAAUAGAUUUGGGUUAACUAUUUAUAAAUAUAGACGAAUUUAAGAAAAAAUUUAGGUCCAUAUUUUAAUUCAGUUGAGUUUGAAAAAGUAUAACAUAUGUUAAUAUCAUAUAUAAGUUCGAGCCAAACAAACCUAUGAACACCUUUAUAUAAUUUUCCCUCCUAACUUUUAUAUAUUUAAGCAUCGACUAUUAGGCUUUUAGCGAUCCUCAUUUAAAAUUCAAAAGUAAAAGGAUUUUUUUAUUAUAAAAAAUAAGAUUAAAUCACUAGUUGAAGUCUGAACUUGGCAACUUUUCUUAUAUUGGAACUUGGAUUAGACAAUUGUUCCCAUAUUAGGACUUAAAUUUUUUUUUGUCCAAGUUACUCCUACAUUUGGCAAUUGUUCCCCAUUAGAGCUUGAACUUUAGGGUUUUUAUGGACUAACUUGGAAAAAAAAAAGAGUUCAAACCCUAACAUGAGAACAAUUACUAAGUUCAAAGCUUAACUUGGAAAUAAAAUUCAAACCCAAUAUGGGAAAAGUUGUCAAAUUCAAACCCCCAAAAAAUAUUACAUAAGUGGUAAGAAAUAGUUUAAUUGAAUAAUAUACAUUAUAAUUAAUAUUACACAUUGUAAUUAAUAUUACACAAUAUAUUAUUAUAUAUGUAAUAAAUACUAUACGAGAUAAUAUAUUGUGUAAUAGUCUUGACUUAUAUGGAGUUAUGGUUAAUAUUUUUAUCAGACACUUGUUUAACACGAAUUUAAAUCGCGUGACCUCCAUCUCUCACCCAAUAUUGCAUAAAAAAUAUAUAUUGUGCAACAACAUUAAAUUUUUACGAGAUUUAACAAAAAUAUAUCAAAUAAAUCGUAGGAAAGAACACAAAAAAUUUACGAGAAUUUACAAAAAUAUAUUAGGUAGAUUGUAUGGAAAUAUAUUAAAUAGGUAGAGGGAAAUUAUUAAUGGUAUAUAUUAUAUUUUAACUAAUUUCUUAUUCAUGUAAUGUAUGGAUUUAUUUGUAUGUAUCAAUUAAAAUAUGUUUAUUUAAAAAAAUGUGUUACAACAUUCUAAAAAUGCUAAUAUAGAUAAUAUUAUUAAUUACCUCUAACUUAAGAAUAAUUAUAAAACUAAUAAAAGCGGAAGGGUUUAUGUUGCAAAUAACACUAUUUAUCUUUUAGAUUUAAAUGUGUGUGAUUUGUAAAUAUUUUAACUAGAUCAACAAUAAGAAAGAAUUAUAUGAAAUUGUGAUUCCACGUUAUUCUUAUCCCUUUCAAAUAGAAAAAUGACAAAUCAAAUGAGGAAAAUGCUGAAAUUAUGAAAACCUUAUUUAAGAUAAUUUAUCCUUGCAAUACAUUAAUUAUUGUACGUAUCAAUUUAUAUGUAAUAAUUAAAAAAAUUAUAGACUUAUGAACCAUUAGAUAAGUAAUAAAUAAUAAUCAUGAAUAAAAUAGUUAAAAUAUGUCAAUUGAGUUUUAGUUCGAUUGGUAUGAAUAUUGUUGUCAAUAUAGGAGGAUGUGAGUUCGAGUGUGUUGAAGCGCGUUAUCCUCUUAUUUAUGGGUUGGGAAGGGACUAUAGGUAAUUCUAAAUAUUGUGUCAAAAAGAAUAAAUAUAAGUAGACCCUUAAUAAUGAGAUUAUUAAUAAUUACAAUAUACUCUUAAUUUUUUUAAUGUCAUAUUUUGCUGUUAACAAUCGCAAUAUGUUUUUGUUUAUUAAGCUUCAAGCUCUCUUAGGGUGCGUUUUGUAAUACUUUUAAGAAGUUUUUUUUUUUUUAAAUAAAAACAUUUCUAUAUAAUUUAUUUUUUUAGAAAAAAAUGUACUUCUCUCAAGUCAAAAAGUAACGAAAAAGUACCUUCUUUUUUAUAAGCUAAAAAAUUUAACUUCUCCCUAAAAGUGUUUCUUUUUUCUCCCAAAAAUACAUUUGAGAAAUAUUGUUAAACUAAGCCUUAAUAUGGUAUCCACCAUGGGUUUAAUGAAUGAAGAUGUUGUCCAUUUCUAAGAGUUGAAACGCUGAUUGUUGUUACAUCCUCUCGCACCCUAAACUGUCUUCUGCUAUCUCCCUCAAACCUUUGCCUCUUGUUACUUUAAAAAAGAAAUUGACAAGGUUAUAUCAAAACCAAUUUGACUUCGAUUUGUUAUUGCAUUUAUUUAGUUUUAAGUUUUGAAAUCAAAUAUGUUAUGCAAUUUAUGAUAAAAAUUUGAAAUAUUUAUUGUAUCUUCAUUUAAAGUAAUUCAAUAAACAAUUAUUGCAUUUGUGCCGAUAAUGAAAAAGAUAAAUUUGUGUAUAGAAAUAGUGAUGACUCAAAGAAUGUGACCACUAAUAAAAAACAAGAGAUAGAAACAUGGGGCAUAGGGAAUAUUGAAUGAAGCUCUUGUAUUUGUGAUGGUUAUAGGAAAUAUUGAAUAUCAUUUUGCUACCUCAAGAGGUAAGAUUCCAUAACCUUGGUCCCUCAUCACCUCUUUAUAUUAUGUGAUUCUCUUUUUUUAAGUCAGAAUUUCAUAUUCAUAAUAAUUUAAGAUUUUGUUUAUUGGUUUAAAAUUUUACUCAUUUAAUUAUUACAAAAAAAUAUUUUUUUAUUGAGAUAAGUAUUUAGUACAUUAAUAGUGUAUUUUUUUAUUCUACAAAUAAUCUUAACAAAUUAAUAUUCUUUUUUUAAUAUUUAUUGUAGUUCUAUAAGAUAUUUGUCAACUCCCUACUCAUGGAAUCUAAAAACUCCACUAGUAAUGUAUUAAAUAAUUUCAUUAAAACCAAUUACUCAUUAUAUGUAUUUUUGAAAAAUUAUUUAUUUAUUUAGUAUUAUUAGUCCAACACACAUAAUAUAUAUAUUAUGUUUUUGGAGAAGGAUCUACUUAUUCUAGUGUAAAAUUAAAGUGAUUUUACAUCAUUUUAUACCAACCUCCAUAUAUAAUGCUCCAAUCAUAUACAUCAUACAUGUCAAUUUGGCGUAAGUUGAAAAUUUCUAACUACUUUUUUUUAUGUAAAAUUAUAUAUUAAUAUGGACAAAACUUUAGAUAGACAUGAUAGAGACCUUGAAUGGAUUAAAAAAUUUACAUGCAUGACGAACAUAAUAUCAUGAUGAAUUUAUAAGUUAAAUUAUGUCAAUUGAUAUUGUCACUAUUGUCAAUAUAGGACAAUAUGAGUUUGAGUGUACUGAAACGCAUUAUACUCUUAUUUAUGAGUUGAGGAGGAACUAUGAAUAAUUUUAAGUAUUGUGUUAAAAAGAAUAUAUAUAUAUAUAAUCAAAAUUUAUAAUAAAAUCGUUAAAAAAAUUAAAUUAUUAAAAUAUUAAUCAUAUAAAAAUUACAAAAUAAUAUAAAAGCAUUACCAAUAAUAUCUCUACUCUAUUUUUUUUCCGUCAUCGGUAUAUUAUGUUUCAAGUUUGACUCUUAUCCUUUAUUUAAUUAAAAAAAUUAAAUAAUUUUAUAAUAAUUUCUUUUAAUUUUAAAUUUUAAAAAUUCUCCCAGUAAAUUCAAUGAUACAAAUUCAAUUAGUAUACAUACUCUGUUUAAUUUUGUUUAAUUGUUUUCAAGUAGAAAUUCUACUUCAAUCUUCAACAAACCUCUGAAAAAACCAAAGGCAAAAAUUGUACUGAUAAGAAUUUCUAUAAGCUAAAAACGGAAUAUUAUUAUAUAAUUCUUUGAGGUUACGAAGCUCCCGCAACGUUAAAAGCAUGGCAUCCAAUAACGCGAAACACAAUCGCGAUUUCAUUAUAUCCAGUUACAUAUCCUAAAAGAGUAAAUUCAAAUUCCGAUCAUUCAAUUGGAAUCGGAAUCGUCUUGUUCAGGAACCAAAAUCAAGGAAGAAAACGAGUUUCGCGGCAACUUAACUCGCUGAUCGCCUGGAUUUUGAACGUCAAUACUAGUACUACCGACCUUUUCGCCUUGCCUCCUCCUCAUCGAAACGCUAGUCUUGUUGUUGCGGCGGUGAACAACCGGAGUUCCAGGCUGCCGCUGCUUACCGUCAUUAUUACCAUCAACAACAACCUCUCUCUUUUGGAUCGGCACCGUGGAGGGAGGAGUAGAGUCGAGGACAGGAGCAGGCUGUGGCGGACGAGGGUAGAAGAAAUCUGUGGGGAAAAAAUUAUACUGAAGACCAGCCAUGUGAAAUUGUAUUUGAAGGAAGGAAAGAGAGAGACUUUAAGCUUGAAUUUGCUUAAUUAUUUUGAUGCAAGGAAGUAUGUAUUUAUAAGGGGGGAAGGGAAGGAGGCGGUUAGUUACUUCGACUUGGCUUGGGAUUCAAGUUUGGCUCGGAUUUGUAUAGAAUAUUAGGGGUUUUUAAUAGUUUAAUUCAGUAACUAAAUUAUCAGUAACUAAAUUAAUUAAUUUUUUUAAAUUCUUAAUCGUUAAUUAAAUCCUUUUUUAAAAAAAAAUUAACCGAAUCAAACUUUUUCGUUUAAUUUAGUCAGUUAGCCGAAUUAACUGAAAUCUAUAUUUUUUUAUUAUAAAACAUAGAAAAAAUUAACCAAAUUAACAGAAUUUAAUAUAUGUAAAAUGUAUAUAAAAAUAUAAAUUUUUGGUUAAUUCAGUUAAUUCGAUUAAUUAACCAAUUUCAAACUUUAUUAACCGAACUCCAACUGAAUUAAUUCGAUUAACCAACUGAUUAACAGAAUCAAUUUAGUUUCACCUGAAAUUUGCACACUCCAAUAAAAUAUCAACUGCACUUAUUUAUAUAUAACUCUCAAAUUUUACUUAUAAUUAAUUAAUUCAAUUUUAUUUAAGAUUUCUCUUAUUAUUUUCUUAAAAUAUUUUGAUUUAAUCUUAUGUUUUAUUUAAUUUAGACAAGGUUUUUAGAUACUACAAGCAGGUUGGAAUGUAACGGGUGUUCUAUAGAGUAUAAUAAAAUAAAUUAAAAUAUUUAUUAUUAUUUUAUACACGGCUAGUAAAGUAAAAAAAUUCUACAAGUAGGUCCAAAAUGAUGCCAUUUAUUUUUAGGGUGUAAUAAAAAAUAUUUAAAUAAUUAAAAAGGAUAUUUGAUAUCAUCUAAAACUCGAGUGUAGAGAUUUUUUUACUCUAUUGACAGUGGAUAGAAUUAUUACCCUUAAAUAACAUAUAGAAACAACAUGACACUUGGUCACAAUUUCAACUUUGAAAUUUAAAACUCCACAAGUUAUGUAUCGAAUUAUUAUUCAUUUAAUAUUGGCUAAAAUAAUAUCCAUGUUCUUGUACCCUUUGUAUAUUUGGAAGUUAGUCCUUUAUUUUUAUUUUUGGGGAAUUUAGUCCUUCAACUUUUUAGAUUUUAAACUUCAACUCUAAUUGUUAAUACCAUUAAAAACAUUUUGUUAAUUUUGUUGGUGUGUUAUUUUAAAAUUAAAAAAAAAUACUCACUUAGUUACCAUGUAACAAAAAAAAUAAUGUUUUAAUGACCCUAAGUUGAGCAGAAUAAUUUUUACUAUAUUAACAAUCAAACUUGUAUUUUUAAAUCUAAAAAUUAAAGGGACUAAAGUCCAAAUAUGUAAAAAGUACAAAGACCUAGAACAUAUUUUAACCUUUAAUAUUCAGCAACUAUAUAUAUUGUUAUUAAGGAGUAUCUAGUUUGAGACUUAUCAAACUUAAUUAUUUAAGUAGCUCUUUGAGUCCCAUAAUGUGCGUAAAUAUAAUUAUGUUAUUUGAUAAAAAUAAUAUAUUAUAUUAAUAAAAUAAAUAUUAAUAAAAUAAAUAUUUAUUUUUUUUAAAAAUAUUUAUUUUAUUAAUAUAAUAUAAUAUAUUAUAUUAAUUCAUUUCGAAUAAAAUUUAAAUAUGUAUUUUAAAAUUUUAGACAUAAUCUAUUUCAAAUAUGGUAUUUCUAAUAAAAUAAAAAUCAAGAAAUUAAAAUUAUUAUCAAAGUCAUUUAAAAUAACAGUUUGAGUAAAAUGAAAGGUUUUAAUCAUCUAUUAAAUACAACCUUAUUCAAUUUAUAAACAUAUUUAAUUUUUCACGCAAAUUAAAUUUCUAAACAUAAAAUAUUAUUUAAACCCAUAAAAUAUCAUAGAUACACUUACAUUGAACAAGCAACCUUAUUCUCGUACACUAAUGUGCUGAUGGCCACAGGCUUUGACUUUUCUUUGCUGCACAUUAUUAUUGUGGCUUUCAUUCUCUUUUUCUUAUUUAAUAGAAACAAUUAGUAACAAUUAAUGGAGGGAUGUUUCCAUAAAAAGAUAAGUAAAAUUCAAAGAAAGGUCCCUGUACUAUGUAUUUUUGUGAAGUUAGUCCGUAUACUAUAAUUUCGUCAUUUUUAUCUCUCUACUUAUUGAAAUGAGUAUUUUCGAUGCCAAAUGACUUAUUUAUAAAGGAAAGACUGAACUCCUUCUAGAGAAGUUUUUGAAGCAUGAUUUAUUUAGAGCCUACGGACCCUUUAAUAAGUCAAUAUUGUCUCUGAGUCUGAUCGGAGUUUUGUCUUCUGAAUCCGUUGUAAGCCUAAACUUGAGGUGGGAUUCGAGGAGUAGGAGUGCCUCGUUGGAUUGGGUCAUGUGUAACAUAUGGAUCACCUAUCAAAGGAGACAUGUGUCUCACGCUCAGUAAGGUUUGAAUCAUUGACCUACAAGAUAUAGGUCAUCUUUAGAGGAAUAUAUACCACUUAAUCUAGUCAACUCUGAAUAAAUAACACUUAGAAGUCUUAUUCAGAAAGUAUCCGUCCUCCCCUCAACAACAUUAACAUUUUUUUGAGCAAAUGGACAAAUAUUAUACAAUUUUUUAAUGUGUAGAAAAUGUGUUUAAUUAUACAAAAAUGUCCUAUCAUCCCAUGUUUAAAGAAAAAUAAACCACAUUAAAUUAUUUGACAGAACUAAUAAAAAAAACAUUUCAAAAAAUAAAGAUAUUGUAAAUGACCAAAUCAUCAUAAACGGACUAAAUUUGUAAAAAAAAUAUAAAGUGCGAAGACUCUAUAAAGAAUUUAACCUAAAAGAGAAGUAGAAAACAGUAGAAGGAUGUGGGAGCUGUCUGCCGGUCCAGCACGUUUGGUGGAGCACAACAACCUCACGAAAAGACCAUUAGAUUGAGGAAGGUCUAGGCAAAGUUAUGAUCCAUUAAUUCUUAGUCAACUUUGGACUCAAAUUUGAAUGGUCAAGAAAUUUGGUAAGUGUGAAAUACUUUUUUUGUGGUACAAAUCACGGGGGAAUUCAAAAAUUAUUUUAGGAUUAAAAUUGAAUAAUAAACUUUUGAGAUGUUAAAUAUAAAUUUUUUAAAUUUUGUUCAAAGGGUAAAUUUCUUUAUAUUAAUUUAUAAGGGACUAGAAUUAAAAAUUUUUAAAUUUUGAGGCCAAGGUCUCUACCUGUCCCUAUAUCCACCCUAAUCAAGUAUCGUGGGCAUAGAGAUAAACAUCCUUAACAAAUGGGCCAGAUGUUGAGAUUCUGAUAAGUGUGAUGUCCAAGGACAAAUUCAAAAAUUAUUUUAGAACAAGAAUUAAAUUAUAAAUUUUUAAGAUGUUAAAUGUAAGUUUUAUCACGUAUUAAUUUAUGAUUUCAUAUUUUUUAAACAUGAUUAAAUAUGAUAUUUUUAUUUAUUUUUUGAGACUAAAGUGUAACUUUUCUCUCUAUUAAUUUAUAAUUUAAUCAUUUAUUUCGAUUUGGGGAGGUGGCCCCUUGCAUCCACCCUUGAUUACAUAUCACUAUUCAGAGCAAAUUAUUGUUGCAUACACAUAUAUCACUAAUUGAUAAUUUUUUGCGAUUUGAUCUUACAAACAUGGGUGUAAGGAUAAACAUCCUUGACAAAUGGGCUAAACGUUAGAGUUCUUAUAAAUAUGAAAUAUUGUUCAACUUAAAAUAAAAAAUAAUAAUUCCUUUUAUAAAUUAUUGGUAAAAAAUUUAAAUCUCUUAAAUAUAAUUUGGAGUAUGAUCAUGUAAAAAAUAAAUAAAUGAAGAUGUUAGAUAAAUUUUUAACACCUGUAAAAUAAAAAAAUAAAAAAAAACUUCAUUUUCAAUUCAUUGGAGGCAAAUAAUAGAUUAAAACAUUCUAUGUAAUUUUUGUAAAUUUAUACCUUAAUUUUUAUAUUUUUAUUUUUGGGAAUUUAGUUUUUCUACUUUUUAUAUUUUAAAGUUUAUGUUCAAUAGUUCAAAUUGUUUUAUUAAAUCCAAGUUCAUUAUAACGUCAUUUUUUAGUUACAUUGCUACCAAGUAAAUAUUUAUUUUAUUUUAAAAUGUUACACCAACAAAUUUAACUAAAAGAAACAACAAUAUUAACAAUUAGACCUAAACUUUAAAAUAUAAAAAGUAAAAAUUUAAAUUCUUGAAAAUAAAAAUAUACAAAUUAAAUUCUAAAUUUAUGAAAAAUAUAAAAAUUUAUGAGAUAUUUUAACUAAAUAAUAUUAUUUGUUUAAUUUUUUUAUUUAAACAAGAAAGUAUUGAUUUUUGUGUGUGAAAGAGAAACAUCAUGCACCUACCACUAUGAAAAGUUUUGGUAUCACUUUAAAGUGAAAAGACGAAGGGUGGGUUUGGGGCGGCGGUGCGGUACGUUUAGUUUACUUUUUGUCUCACGCUACAGUAUCGUUAUAGUAUCUAAUCUAACUGCCACCGCUAUUUUUACACUAACCGCAGGUAAACGCACCGCUCAUCCAAACUCACCCGAAGUCAAAUUUGAUUAGGAGAUUGAGUUUGUACAUUAGUAGAAAGGCUGAGGGACAAUGAGUUAUGUGACUCUGGCUUGAUUAAGGCCAUGAUUUUGCGCAUCUUAUCCCCCGGGCUUAAAAGAGAAUGUUGUUCUAAGUGGACGUACUUUCAAGAUAAUAAAAAGUCUAUUUAGACUUAAUUAAAUCAUAUUAAUAGAAUUUUAUGAAACUUGUCUGUGAUUAUCCAUUACGCAUCCACCUUGAUCCUCUCCACUAUGUGUUAGUUUUGUCUAAUUCUUUUAUUUUCUUUGUCUGUUAUGCUUUGUACUAGUUUAAUUCUAUAUAAUAUUUUUUUUAUACUAUACUGGGGGUAAGGGAUGGGGUAACAUGGUUCGAACCUCUGUCAAACAAAUGUUUGACAAAAGUUUUAACCAUCGUUCCAUACAAGUUAAGACAUAUAUUUGUAUUUGUAAUGUACUUGUGAAUGUAUUGUAUUUGUAAUAGUUAAACUUUCAAAAAAAUUGGUUAAAAUAUGCUAUAAGUUAUUGUACUCUUCGUAAAUUUGGAAUUUAUUCGAUGUGCUUCUAUUUUUUUAGUUUCUCUACUUUCUUAGGUUUCAAAAUUAUGCCCAAUUGUUAACAUAUUAAAAUUAUUUUGUUAAAUUCAAAUUCAUUAUAACAUCAUUUUUUUAGCUGCAGGCUAUCAAGUGAGCAUUUUUUUUAAACUGUCAUACCAACAAAUUUAACAAAAAAAUUUAAUAGUACUAAUAAUUGAAUUUGAAUUUUGAAAUUUAAGAAGUAGAGUGAUUGAAUUCCAAUAAAUAAAAUUAUAGACUAAAUUUCAUACUUGUGAAUAAUAUUGGGACUUAUGACAUAUUUUAAUAAAAAAUUCUUUUUAAAAUUUUCUAAAUUAUCCUUAAAUUUCUAAACCCAUAAUUAAUUAUAUUUACUUGAGAAGAAUAUUAUGUGCCUAAAUCCGCUAACAUAUGAUAAUAUAAACGUAUACAUGUGUUUCCAAUUCCAUCAUAAGUAAUUGUACAUGUGUGGAUUUUAAUCUAGAUUAUUUCUUAUUCUUUAUCUAUCUUAGUGUUAUAAUAAAUCCAUUCUACUUUAUAAUUAUUUAAAAAUGUAUUUAUUAGUUGUUUCUCUUGAGAAAAAAAAAACCACUAAUACACCCAUGCAUCUUAGUUGGCUUUAGUUCACACAAUUAUAUUCAAUUGAUUUAGUCAACAAAAGUCAAAAAUUUUCACAUUAACCAUGCUUUUCAACAAUAUUUUCAAUCAAACCAACACACAUCCUCAUUAAUUCCUCAUCAAUUAAUAAGAAAUUUAGCUCAUAACUGGAAACAUCAACAGAGCAAAUAUAUGUAAUUAAUUUAAAAAUAAUUUAAUUUCAAAUUAUUAUUAUACUAAAAAAACGAAAUAAAUAUAUAUUGUAUUCAAGUUACAAACCAAAGUAAAGUGUUUAAAAAUGCUCAUAAACUCUUCUUCAAGUUGAAAGCUUGAUUUCAACUUGAAAAUCAUCCUUUUGUUGUUGUAUAUAAUUUGUUGAGUAAUUUUUCGUCAUGUCUAAUUAAAGAGGAUAGUUAAAUAUUUAUAUACAUAGUUAUUGUUCAUGAAAUUGAUGUUCUUAGUAGACUUUAUGCAUGCUAGACACAUGUAUUGUUCUAGACUGCCUGUUGGACAUCGUGGCCCCCACAUGUGAACUCCUUGGAUAUAUGCGAGGUGAGACUGCAAGCUCUCCUUGCCGACUUCGUACUGUAAGAUUUGCACUCAUCCAUCUGGUGGGCCCUAGUUGAGUCGCAGGUAGGCGACUUAGGCCUUAUUUAAUUUUUGAGUUGGUGAUCAUAAGUACAUAACAAAUUUAAUAUAAAAAUUUAUGUUUAUAUAUUUAUCAAAUAAUCACAAUUGUCGUAUUAACGUAAUUUAUAUACGCAUAUGCAACAACAUUCAAGAUUUUUUAAAAAGUUGCAUCUAAUGGUAAGUUGACUUCCAAAUUUAGUAGAAAGUUUUUUGUUUUUUUUAGCCGAAAUUCAUGAAUUUUUCUAACAUGCAAAGUCGUAACUUUUAAGAGGAGGCAAUUAUGUAUUUAUUGACCCACAACAAAUAAAUAUUUCAUAUUAAAAUUAGAGUGAAAUAUAGUAUUACAAAACAUUAUUUCUUUCUUUUGAGUUUCUCUCAAUCCAUUAAGAUUUAGAAUAAUUUGUAUUCAAGUUUGUAACAUAAAAUUAUUACAUUUGAGAUAAAAACAUUGUAUCUUAAUAAUACUGUUUUUCAAUCAUUUUAUAUAUGGAAGAAAAGUAAUAAUAAUAAUAAAAAACAAACAACCAUUAGGUUUAGGGGGCUUUGCCUCCUCCCAAGUUUUUAAAAUUUUUAUUUAACUCCUUCAAAACUUAAUGCUAAAAUUCACCAUUGAAAUUAACUAUUCUUAAUUUAAUUUCCUGAAAAUGUUUUACCUUAUAUUUUGACAUACCAGAUCAGUAUAUUUACUCAUUUGAUAUGAGUAUCUGAUAUAUAUUCAUUUUCAAAAGGCAAGCACCUUAGUCUAACUAUAUUUUGUUGCAAUCUAUGAUGGCCACACCGUUCAAUGAAACCAACAAUAAUGGCCCAUUUUAAAUAGAAUUUAUCAUUCAACCAUGACCAGUAGAUAAUGACCUGACUUUGCAUAUUAUAUGAAUGAAGAAUGAUGAUAGUCAUAAAGCAAAAUAAUCAUAUUCAUUAGGGACUACGAGCCAGUAUGCAAAACCCUACAUGUUUGGUGAUGAUAAAGAUCAAAGACUAGACUCUUGCUUGUACUGUUUGCUGAUUUGAACAGGCAACGAUGGGGUGAUCUUAGGAAACUUUGGUGAGUGAAAUUUCGAUUGUUAGUUUUUUAGGAUGAUAGGUUGAAAGCAAGCCCUAAAACAUCCUAGUAAUGAUUUAUAUAUACAAGGUGUUUUAAUAUGUUUUACGAUUUAGGACAAGUCUUGUUCAGUCUGAGGAUGGUAUUUAGAUAAAACCUUCUAAUAUUUUAACUGAUCAAUAACUGAGUUUAUGUUUUCACAGUAGUAAUGAUGUUAUGCCAUGUUCAUAGUUUUUGAUCUAAUAUUUUAAAUGGCCGAUAGUUAAGUCUGUGUUUGAUUGAACGUAAAGAGAUUUAGUUAGAUCAAAAUUGCUCAUUGAUUUGUCUUAUUGCAUUACUUUGGGAUCGCUUCUAAACUAUCUUAAUGCUACAAUUUGUAAGAGCUUGAUAUGAGAUUAUUAUUUGUGAAGAUCAUAUUAUCCAUCACCGAUAAUAAUGAUUAGCUCUCUCAUUGAGAGUGUUUUUCGAAAAAGUAAACAACUGACCAUUGGUGUAUAAAAAUUCGUUAGACAAGUGCACUUGUUAAAUUACAUCACCCCAAUUUUAAAAACUCCCCUUCGCUUGUUAAAUUAUGUUAUCCCUUAUUUUUAUGGUUUUAAUUUUUCCAUUCCGUUGGACACAAAAUUGCGAUAGAGCGAAUUGCUUGCUGUUUAAAAAUUCUGAAUUGAAGAUUGUUCUCCACCAUACUAAAAUCUAGUAGAGUGGAAGGCAUCUCUUCACUACUUUUUACUCUAUGCUCCAAACCUUCCAUUCUUCAUUCGAAACUUGUAAUGUAAAGAGGAAAAUAACAAGUAAAUCUGAACUAACUCUAAAAAUGAUAAAAAUCAAACAAAACAUAAUUAACAAAGAAACUCUAAAAUACAGUACAAACUAAUCUAAAUGCUAAAAUUACCUCCUAAAACUGUAUAAAAAUUGUACUAAAAUAACUCUAAAUAUGAAAAUUAUCAGCCAUGAAAUGUGCUCCUUUCUUAGAACGGAGAUUAAAGCCUCAACUACAUAAUUAGGAGACGAGGUGAGCAACCACUAUGUUACGCCUCGUGGUUUCUAUUUGACUAUGACAAAAGGAUUUAUGUCUUCCAUAAAAGUGUACGAAUUAUAGGUAGGCUUUUGGUAAUUAAUCCUAUAAACUACUUUUAUUGGAUUUAAUAUAAUACCAUUUUGGAUUAGAUAUCAGAUAGCUAGUUAAAUAUAUGAGUAAAAAAUCAACAAGUGUUUGAUAUAAUGAUAACGCAUAUUGUAUUUUCAAGAAAAGUACUUAUAUUUAAAUCCUAUAAAUAACAUUGUUGAGAAGAGUAGUCAAAGACCCAAAAAAAUUAACUUUUACCUACCGUAAAAUUAACAUAAAGAAUACCUUAUAUAUAUAUAUGUAAGCAACAUAUUUUCUUGCACAUUUCUUUAGCCAUUACAAGGAAAUCAUUGGGAUUCCUUGGAUGCAUGCAAGUCAUGGAAGAGGACAAAAAGAGAAAUUAAAAAUGAUGGAAUUUUAUAUAAAAGAGAGAGACCACAGUUUACAUUACAUCUGUUACUGUAGUAAAGCUUACAUGUGAAUGAAUUUAGAUACCUAAGAAUUUGGGUUUUGGAAUUAUUAAAUUGUGUAGGUUGUUUUAAUUUGAUCAAUUUUAGUUUUUGUAUUUUUCGAAUUUUGAAAUUUUAAUCUUGAUCAAAUGGUAGCAGUUAAAUGUAUUUGGUUAAAUUAUGUUGUUAGUCCUGUAUCAUGCGUAAAGUUAUAGAUUUGUCCAUGUUUUCCGAUAGGAUAAUUAUUAGUCGCUAUAUUUUUUUUUCAAAAUUUCAAACUUAAUGCAAACAAUAGUUGUUAAAUCUAUUAACUGAUUUUUUUUUUGUGAGUAGUGGAAACAAUGAGUUGACUAGUAUUAUAUAUGCGAUAAUAUGUUUGACAUAUCAAAUUUUGAAAAUAACAGAACUUAACUUAAUGAAUUUAAUCGUUACCAUUUGAUUAGGACUAAAAUUUUCAAAUUCUAAAAAUAUAAAGAUUGAAAAGGGCCAAACUAAAAUACCGAUACUAAAUUUACAACUUACACAAAGUACUAAUAGGAGAAUUUCACCAAAUAUAUUAGAAGAGGAAAUUCUUUCAACAACAUAGGUUCGGCCUGCCUUUUGGGGAAAAGGGUAUGGAUAUAGAUCAAGUCCAUAAAGGGAGGAAACUGGACUUUAGUAAUUCUCCCUCCUAAUGUCGAUUAUUUUGCUUCAAGUGGAUUCUGAAAAGAUUUUAAUACCAGAAUUAUAUUUCAAUUUUUAUAUUUUUUGGAUUAAUAAUUUAAAAAUAUAUUUUAAAAUAAUUCAAUAGGUUAAGAAUAUACAAUAUAAAAAUUCUUAAAAUUUAAAAAUAAAUAUAUAAAAAAUAAUUUAUUGGGUUUGACCAAUGUUAACAGAUAUUGAUCAACAUUUCGAAGCACGAUUGGAUGACUAGUUUUUGCUUGACUGCAUUUUUGGGUUGAGUAUCAAUAUCUCAUACCCAUGUAUUGUUACCUCUUGGUUGAGUAUCGAUACUCAGACUCUUGGUUCUAGUGUCACGGACUUAAGAUUCUUGCCUCAGAAUCCGUGCGGCCUUAGGCAGUUUCUUACUCCAAAAACGCCUAAGUCAGCCUAACUUCCACAAAAGAAGGAUUCAACAGAAUUCCUCCCAAAACACAACUCAAGCGAAAGCAACUCAAAGCCAACAAGAUGAAAGAAGAAUGAGAUAAGAACAAGCCAGGGAAAAUAAGAACACAAGAGAGAAAAGUUUGAGUGAAUGCUCUCAAGGAUUCUUCUUACUCAAAACUCAAGUGAUUUACAAUGAGGGAAGAGGUCUCUUAUUUAUAGUUGAGCCUCUCCAAAUCCAACGGUACAAAAUUAAGUACAUCAACGGCUACGAUUAAAGGGCACCUACCAUCAAAUCUUUAAGAAUAUAAAAUCAUAUCUUCUAAGAUUACAUAUCUUAUCUAAGAUAUGUAAUCUUAUAAAAUAAUAUCUUAUAAGAUCAUGUUUCCAUAUUUGUCUUAACUUGUAGAUGGGCCUUCAAUCUCUUCAAGCAACGGGCCGGUCCGAUUGGGCCAAAUGACCUCCUUCCUUCUUGAUGGAUCACACAGAUGUGUCAUGGUUGCGGACUCCCAUGCGCAACCCAUGACGCUAGUACAUUCAAAGCGAGCAGCUAAAAUUUUGAAACAGGAGGCUUGUAUUGGUACAAGGCACCUUAUUAUUGUUACUUGCACUCAAGUAUCAGUACUUCCUCUAGAGGAUUAGUACUCCGAGACUUUGAGCCUAAAAUUAGUUGAAAAUUGGUCUAAGCAUCAGUACUUUGGUCCCAAGUAUCAAUACCUAGCUAACAGUAGUGCAUUUAGGCCUUCUAAUAUUGUUUUAAAUUCAUUAUGACUUAAGUUUUUGGUUAUAUUUAUUCAUGAUUGUGUAAUUUGAUGAUAGAUGAUUCAACUCCUGCUAAAAUGAGUAUUUAGUGAAAGUUAGAUUCAUCGUUGUCACUUUGAAGAUAAUUGAAAUGUUUUUUGUCCAAUCAGAUUUUUGGAUUGGGUAAGGGAUGUUACGCAUCUCCAAGCUUUUAGAGUUUGGGCUAUUCUCUAAAUAGCAUACGAAGACACCGUUACUAUGAAACAAUUCAAACAUCAGAUGUUUGUUUUCAGGUUUGAAUUUUUUAGAAUGUCAGAUGAAGAAACAAUUUCUAAUUUUUAUGCUAAAUUAUGUGACAUCUCUAACCAAGCUUUUGCUCUUAGUGAGGAGCAUUCAAAUGCCAAGCUGGUUCAAAAGGUUUUAGGAUAUCUAUAUGAACAAUUUGUGAAAUGUGAUUGCUAUAGAUGAGGCAAAGGAUAUUGAUACAAGAGUCAAAAUUUAAUUUUCAAAAUGACCUUUCAAUAUUUGGUACUUAUAUGUAAUUCGAUCAUUCCAUAAAAAUAUCCCCAAUAAGCUAAAAAGUUCGGUACAACGUCUACCUUCGCUUAUCAAUGUUAAUCUUGCAAUUGCUUUUAUUAACCUAGACUAAUUGUCUUUGCCAAGAACUUGUGAUUAAUACAAGUCAAGAGCAUACAGGAUAUGUCCUCUCAUAUCACUUAGGGUGAUUUAUCCUCAUUGGGCCACUUCCCACCUUUAUAUGCCUUAUAUCAUACCCAAGACAUCUUACCUUAAGCAUUUGCCAUUAUGGAUCUAUUUCGUGAUGAAUUCAAGUAUGACACUCAACAUAUAAGAUAAGUCGGUGUCACAUGGUCUAAAGAUUAUUUACACUACUGAUACAUGGAAGUAUUGCUAUAGAAACUUAAAUGAAAUAUCAAAUAGAACUCUUAUAACGAGUAAUGUUUAGUGUAUUUGUCACACAGCAAGCACUCACAUGUUAUCUUCAAGUAUCUUGUACUUCAACUUAUAAAAUUAGUUCCAUGCAUCCACGUGCAUAUAAGAUUAACACGUACUGUCAACUUUUAAGCAUUAUCGAUGUUUUGUCUCAAUAAUGCGAUGGACAAAAAAAUUUAAAAAUCACGAAUUUAAUUACAAUUCCCUAUCAAAAUCAUAUGUAUUUCCUUGAGCUUUAUCUAUAUAGAUUGUAAAUGUCAAUUUUAUUAUAAAUUUUAUAAUAAAAAAUAUAUUUACUCCAAAAUACUAAAUGGGGAUUACAAGCUAAUCACCGUUUGACUUGUACUAUCUUUACUAUAUUUCUUUAUAAAACCAAAUAAGUACAUAAAUUUUUAAAGGAUCUUUUUUCUUAUUAUUGUUAUUAUUGUUCAGACAAGCACGUGAUAAUUAAUGUAGCAUUAUAACGAAUAAAUUAGGGGUGUUUAAUCGGUUAACUGACUGGUUAACUGACCCGGAUAACCAUUAACCGAAUUAAUCGACUCUUUUAAACCUUUAACCGUUAACUGAACCGAAAGUUUUUCAAAAAAAAUUAACCGAAGCGAACUUUUUCGGUUAAUUCAGUCGGUUAACCGAAUUAACCUAAAUUUAUAUAUUUUUAUUUUUGGUUAAAAUAAAUAUAAAACAUAUCAAAAAUUAACCGACCGAUUAAUUUAUAUUUCUAAAAAAUUAACUGAACCGACCGAAUAUUUAUAUAUUAUAAUAUUAUUUAUUAAAUUUGGUUAAUUUGGUUAAUCAACCGAUUUCGAACCGAAUUAACCGUUAACCGAACUUCCAAGAAAUUAUUAACCGACCUCCGACCUAAUUAAUUCGGUUAACCGACUGAUUAACUGAGUUUGGUUGGUUAACCGAAUAAAUUCGGUUUUACCCGAAAUUUGCACACUCCUAGAAUAAAUAAGACUUUUUGUUUUUUUAAAAAAAAUGUGUUCUUUUUUUCAUGUCCAUUUUAUAUUUUAUGUUUGAAGUUUGUGGUUGUCUCUUCCAAUAAUAUAGUCUACAAAAUUCGAAUUUAAAUCUUUCUUUUAAAAAUACAACAUGACUUACCAUUAUACCUAAAUAUUUGUUAAUUUUUUUUCCUAAACAUAAUGUGGGUGUAUCCAUCCAUCUGAUUCAUGGUAUACUUCAACUUGAUUAUUUCUUUAUAUUAUAUGAUUCAUUGCCAAUUAUAAUAAUAUAGAUCCCAUCACAACUGACUAUUAUUAUUAUUGUUUUGUUCAAUUAAUGCUUAUGUUUAAACCACCUAGUUUUUUUCUUUUUAUUUUUGUUCACAGUUUCAACGAAUUUUAUUAUUCGAAAUGCAUGCCUUAAUGUAUAUACCAUAAUUUCAAAUAUAAUUUAAUAAUGUAAUAAUAUCGAUACCAACAUAAUUUAAAAAUGUGUUUUAUUUUGUAAACAAUUUUUUAAUUUAAUGACAAUAGUAUUAUGUUAUAAACAUAAAGUUUGAAUUUGAUUUCAAACCAUUUUAUUCCCCUUCCACGAUCAUAAAAGAAAUAAUAUAUUUUUAUUUUUUUAAAAAUUGUUUUAUUAUAUUUUAAUUACUAUUUACAAUAUAUUUACAACAAACACAUAUAUUAAUUUUUAAAUAUUCAUAAUUUGGACCAGUUUUACUUUACAAAUAAUGGCUUCAAGUAUUUAAAUCCACGAUAUUAUUGUAAAUAACGGGGAUUAUAAAAUAUAAUUGGAUUGAAAAUUAGAAACUAAAAUAAAUAUGAAAAAUAUUCAAACUUAGCAUAGAGUAAAUAUAAACGGAAUACACAUGAUUUAUAUGUCGUAAGACUCAAAUUUGAGAUGUUAUUCAAGUACAACUCACAUACCUACAAUACUAAAUAAUCACAUAGGCUGUUCAUGUAUACAAAGUUCUUAGAAUCAAAUUGGACAAACUACCAAUUCUAGAUUCGUUUUGUUUGUUCAAUCUAAUCAAUUUUACCUAUUCAAUUUAAUAAAUUAUUAAAAAAAAAAGAAAAACUAGUCCAAAAAGUCAAUUGAUCUAACUUUUCAUUUUAAUUGAUAUUUCAAUUUACUUUAAUUCAAUUUGUGUAAUCUAAUUUUAAAAACGAUAUUUAUAAAUUAAUCCAUGUUUUGGAAAUGAUGCGAAUACUCCAAUGUUUGGGUGAUGUAAUAAUCAAAUUUCGAUGAAAAUAAUAAUAAAAAAUGGAUAAACUUUUGUGAAGGAAUCAUUAGAACUCAAAUAUUAUAAAAAAAUUAUAAGUUUAGGUGCAGCAUUUGUGAAAGAAAAAGUCAAAUAGUGUUGGCUAACGAAUAAGAAAUCCCAUUUAUUUUUUAUUCUUUUAUUAAUUUAUUAUUAAGGGGUGCACUAAACCAAACUUAACAGUUGCAAUUUCCAAACAUUUUCCGAAUUUAAUUAAUUAAUUAAAAUGAUAAUAUAUAAUAUGAAUUUAUGAUGCUACACCCAACACCAUGAACCCAAAAUCCACUCAUCAUUUCACCUCAAUAAAUACCAAUAUAAGCACCAAGGGGAACAUGAUAGAAUUUACAUUUCUUUUUAUCUUUUAAAACAUCUCAUUUUGAGUUUUAAGAUUCGAUAUUGUUGUUUAUAUAUGAGGACAUAGGUUUAAAUGUAUUAAAGUUUAUUUAUACUUCUAUUUAAGGAUUGCAGAUUGCAGAUUGCAGAUUGUAGAGAGACUAUGAAUAGUUCUAAACAAAUAUAUUAAAAAAACAUGUCAUUUAGUAAAUUUAAAAUAAAUUAUUUUAAAAUAAGUUGAAAGAAUAUUCUUGCCUUAGUGCAAGCGUUUUCUUAAACAAUGCAAAGUUACAGAAUUAUUUUUAAGAGUUGGAAUUAAAUUGUAAGUAAGAGUUAAAAUGUAAUUUUAUUAUUUUAAUAAUUUAUAUUUUUAUAAGUUUUUAAAGGGUUAAAUAAAAAUUUUAUCACUUUUUGAGGUAAAUUACAAUUUUACUAUAUUCUAAUUUAAAAUUUUAUGAUUUUUAUAGGACCAAAAGUUAAAUUUAUCAUUUUAGGAUUUUUAACUCACAUUUUGCGUUGGAUUAAUUAAUUUCGGGCUAAAUUGUAAACUUAACAUUUAAAGAUUACAAUAUGCUCCAAAUGUCUGCACAGUUUACAUAUUUAGAAUAAAAACUAGAGUAACCAACAAGUUUAGGAUACAAUGGCAAGACAUAUUAUAUUCCUAAGAGAAAAAUAUAGUUCGAACCUUGAAGAAGGCAUUAUUGGGAGAAAUAGUCAUAAACCCCGAACAUGAACCAUAAAAUGAACAUGAAAAGUGCAAAAAAAGAGAUUGAAAGAUUUUGGUCAACCAUCCCUGCAAGACAACUACUCGUUUUUAUAAUGGCAGAAUGUGUCUCAUUAUAAGCAUCAUUCUUAUGCAUCCUACAAAAAUAGCACGAUAAUAAGUUUGUCACAUUAAGAUUACCAAACAUGAAACCUUCCUUAUAAAUGCUCUUGUUACGAUGCAGAAAUGAUUGACCCUUAAGCAUUCCAGUCUCUUCAUUAUCCUCGACAUACCCUUUUGCAACCUUAAUCCCUUCAUUCACUUACCUCCUCUGUCUCUUUGCUCAGGCCAUCAGAAUCACCACAUCCUUCUCUAUGUGUUACACCCUUGUUGAUACCCAACAUCAACACAAAUAAUAGAAUUGAUGCGACACUUGCUGGUCUACCAUACCAGAAAAGGGUUAUAUCAAGCAUUUUGCGGAAAACGACCUCAGAAAUAGAGAUACCAACCAUUGUUCCCCCACCAUGGUCAACCAUUGUUUAGAUAAAAGAGUUGGAGUAGCCAUUAGCCAAUAAAGCUUUGGAGUAAUGGUUUUCCCACAGAAAUUUCCAGGUCACUUUCAAAGAAGGUGAGGCCAAUUACAAAGUAAAAGCCAUUAAAAAAGCUUUAUAUAAAUUCCUGAGAGAGACAAAAUAAAAAAAUUCAUGCACGUGGAAAUAAAGGUCGAAUAGGAAACUUUCAAACCACCUCCCUCAAUAAAUAUUAAAAUUUUAUAUUAUUUUCACUGUGUUUCAAGCAUAUAUGCAAAGACCCAUAGACCAUCAUAGUAUCAUGAUUUGAUAAUGACCCAACACCAACAGAUCCAAUAAUUUAAGGUACACCAUCAUUUUCUAGUAAAAUCUUCAUUUCCAUACCUCGUUGAAGAUUUUUACUUCAAGCUCUUUCUCUAUAUAUAUACAUACACCAUAGCACUUGCAUCUCUUAAAACUUGUAGACCCUUCAUUUUUCUUCUGGUUUUCAAUCCAUUGGCAGCAUUAAGUGUUGAAGAAUAUGAGUUCAGAGGAUUUAGGGACUGAUAAAGUUCCCCAUAGUUGUCCAUUAAGUGGACCUUUAAACAAAAGGGUAGCAAGGAAAGGUGCUCGGUUCAACGUCCCGGAUUCGAGCUCAUCGAAAGACGAUGGCUACGUUGAGAUUACCCUCGAUGUUUGCGAUGAUUCGGUGGCGGUUCAUAGUUUAAAAGCUGCAGAUGGAGACGAUUUGGAGCAAGACCCAGAGUUGGCUUUGCUUGCCAAAGGUCUUGAGAAGCGAAGUACUUUGGGUUCAUUAAUGGCGAGGAAUGCUUCGGCUAAGAUUAGGCAAGUGGGUCAUGAAUUGAAGCGUUUAACAUCGUUCACCAAGAAGCCAGCUCGGUUCGAUCGGACGAAAUCCGCUGCGGCUCAUGCUUUGACAGGACUUAAGUUCAUAAGCAAGACUGAUGGUGGACAUGGAUGGGCAGCUGUUGAAAAACGGUUUGAUGAAAUUACUGGUUCGAACAAUGGGUAUUUGCCUCGUUCACAGUUUGGGGAAUGUAUAGGAAUGGAGUCGAAGGAAUUUGCAGGGUUGCUGUUUGAUGCACUAGCUCGAAGACAAAACCUUCAUGGGGAUUCAAUUGAUAAAGUUCACCUUAAAUACUUUUGGGAUCAGAUCUCGAAUCAAAGCUUUGAUGCUAGGCUUCAAACUUUCUUUGACAUGUAAAAUUUGCUUAUUCUUUUUUCACAUUUUCUCGGAUUAAAUGUUCAUCAAUAAGCUUUAUAUACACCUUAACUUACCUUCUGAGUUAAGUGUUUGAUAAAAUGCCAGGGUGGAUAAAGAUGCAGAUGGAAGAAUAACUGAAGAGGAAGUCAAAGAGGUAUGCUAUGCCAUGCCAUGCUCUAAGCGAGACAUUUGAUUUUUGCUGAUCUGAUUCCGAGUUGGGUGGAUCGAGUUACAUGUUUGGUCAAUUUCGGGUUCAAGUACUAUAUGCAAUCAUUUUUGGGUUUGAGUUUUCGGGUGUGAAGUUUUAAGUUUUUGGGUUGAGCUAAUACGAAUUUAGAUCAUUUCAACUUCGGGUCACUUUCAAUUACAAGUUCAUGGUUAUUUAAUGUUGAGUUUUCAUUUUAAAGUUCGGAUUCUUCCGAUUUUGAUCAACUUGAUUAGGGUAAAUUUGAGUUAAAGUUGUUGUCUUUUAUGGUCAAAUUGGAUUGAGUUGGGUGGUCAAAUUGGACCGAGUUGGGUGUGGGCAGGGGCAGGGACAAGCUAAAAAUUGGUUUAGGGGUAAGAGAUGAAUCAUAAAUUAUUGAAGGGUAAAAUGUAAUUUUACAAUUAUAUUAACAUAUAAUUUCAUAAAAAUUUAAGAGACUAAAUAGAAAAUUUACCAUUUUUGAGCCCUUUGAUGGAGCUUCCAUCUCUCGGUGUGGAUUUAGGUUGAUUGGACAGGUCAACUCGAGUUGGGUGAGAAUUGAUAGGUAUAAAUGCAGCCUAUGUUGUUUGAAUUUAAAUAUAGUGUUGAAUAUGGAUAUGUUUCCUCUAUCUAAAAUAGAAUGAAAAGAUUGAUAUAUAAAACCAAAAAGUUGACCUUAUAGUAUGUUCCUUAGAGUAACUAUUCUAUAUCUAACUGUUAAUUUACUUUCACAGAUUAUAAGCCUCAGUGCCUCUGCAAACAAACUCUCAAAUAUCCAGAAACAAGCUGAGGAAUAUGCAGCUUUGAUUAUGGAAGAAUUAGACCCUGACAAUUUGGGAUACAUCAUGGUAAGAUUCAAGAAAUUCCCUUACAAUUAUUGUUGGCUUUUGUGUUUUAAAUUUUUUUUUUUGUUAAAAUGUGUUAUAAGUCCCUAUAAUCUUUGUAAAUUUGGAAUUUAGUCUAUGUACUUUUGUUUCUAAGAAUUUAGUCCCUCUACUUUUCAGGUUUCAAAAUUCAGCUCCAACUAUUAAUCCUGUUAAAAUUACUUUGUUAAAUUUAAAUUCAUUACAAUGUCAUUUUUUUAGUUACAAUACUACCAAGUGAAUAAUUUUUUUUCUAUUUCAAAAUGUUACACUGACAAAUUUAAUAGUGUUAAUAAUUGAACUUAAAUUUUGAAAUCUAAAGAGUAGAGGAACUAAAUUCCUGAAAAUACAGAUACAGGGACUAAAUUUCAAAUUUAUGAAGAAUAGAGGGAUCUAUGACAUACUUUAACCUUCAUCUUUUGAAUUCAAUUCCAUGACCAGAAUUCUUAAACUUUAAACCAGAUAAAUAACCUGGAAAUGCUUCUUCUACAAGCACCAAACCAAUCUGUAAGAGGAGAAAGCCGAAACCUGAGCCAAAUGAUAAGCCAGAACCUUAAGCCUACACAUGACCAUAACCCACUGAGGAGAUUCUAUAGGGGCACCAAGUAUUUCUUGGUAGAUAACUGGCAAAGAGUUUGGGUGAUGGCUUUAUGGAUUGCGGUUAUGUGUGGCCUAUUUACAUACAAAUAUAUUGAAUAUCGAAGACGAAAAGAUGUAUUUGAUGUGAUGCGGCAUUGUGUUUGCUUUGCCAAAGGUGCAGCUGAGACACUUAAAUUGAAUAUGGCUUUGAUUCUGCUACCGGUCUGUCGUAACACCAUCACCUGGUUAAGGAACAAGACAAAGCUAGGUGUUGUAGUUCCCUUUGAUGACAACCUCAACUUCCACAAGGUAAUACAGACGUUUAUCUAACUUAAGAGUUAUUGCUUACAUGUUGGAAUUAGGUAAAAGAACUAUGGAGGCUCCUAUAUUAGGAGUAGAUUGUGUUUCUAAUAGAAGGAUCAAUUUGUCCUUUGAUCUAAUGUACAGGGACUAAUCUGUCCAUUUUUGAAAUCUAACUCCUAAUACUAUGGCCUCUAUGGUACUUUUACCGUUGGAAUUACAGAAUGAAUUGUGUUUAUUUGAAUGCUUUGGUACAGGUUAUAGCAGUUGGGAUUACAAUUGGGGUUGGAAUACACGGAAUAGCUCAUUUGGCGUGCGAUUUCCCUCGCCUGCUUCAUGCCACACCUGAUCAGUAUAGACCAAUGAUAAAAUAUUUUGGGAAACAACACACGAGUUACUGGCAUUUUGUUAGGCAUGUAGAAGGAAUUACUGGGAUUGUAAUGGUGGUGUUAAUGGCUAUAGCUUUCACGUUAGCCACACCGUGGUUCAGACGGGGUAAGAUGAAGAACCUUCCCAAGCCUCUCAAGAAGCUUACAGGCUUCAAUGCCUUUUGGUAUUCUCACCAUCUAUUUGUCAUUGUUUAUACUCUUCUUAUUGUCCAUGGAAUUAAGCUCUUCUUGACCGAUAAAUUUUGCAAGAGAACGGUAAGCAAUGACCACAAAUUCGAGUUACAAAGAACUAAGUUCUGUAAUAAACAUAUCUGUUGAACUUUAUUUGUGUUGAACAUGGCAGACUUGGAUGUACUUGGCAAUUCCAGUUUUCCUUUAUUUAUGUGAAAGAUUGACCAGGCUGCUUAGAUCAAGCAUCAAGGCUGUUGCAAUACAGAAGGUAAGCUAAUUGUCAUUAUACAUAAUCCAAUCAGUAGCAGUACUAUAAAGGCAUCUGUAUUAGGAGUCAAAUUAUAUCUUACUCUCUCUACUCAAAAAAUGUACAAACUAAUUAUUCUACAUUAGUUCAAAGAGUAUAAUGGUCAUUUAAUAUUAAAAUUUCCAUCUAUUUGUACGAUCAGAAACUGGUGUGACCGAUGGAAUAACUAACUAGUGAUACAUGGCAUGCCACUGUACAUCAUACUUAUAUACAUGGAUAAAAUUUUAAUAGUAGUAAUGGAUGAAAAUUUUAAUAGAAGGAUCAGUUUGCUCUUUGAUUUAACAUACAAGACUACUUUGUCUAAUUUUUGAAUAAAGAGGGCAAAAUGUAAUAUAACUUCUAGCACAAAAGCUUCAUGAUACUUUUACCUAAUCCAAUGCAAUAUUUAAUAAAAUUAUCAUGGUUUCUAAUUCAGCCCGUGAAAAUUUGCAGGUUGCUGUUUAUCCUGGAAAUGUACUAGCACUUCACAUGUCAAAACCACAUGGUUUUCGAUACAAGAGUGGACAAUACAUGUUUGUCAAUUGCGCUGCGGUGUCUCCAUUUGAAUGGUAAGUCUUAGACUUAUUCAGAAUAUGGUUCAGACAUAGCCUUGUAAUUGGUUUUGUUUAACUUCUUUUUCUAACAUGAUAAUGAUUUGGUUACAUGGAAACAGGCAUCCAUUUUCGAUUACUUCUGCCCCUGGAGAUGACAAUCUCAGUGUUCAUAUAAGGACUCUCGGUGAUUGGACACGACAACUUAGGACCGUAUUUUCAGAGGUAAGUUACCCGAGUUUUAUGAAUAAAGGGUAGGGAUAUGUUGCAAUAAUUAAUUAAACGUCUAUUUAUUUGCAUAUAAAAUGUUUUAUAGAAAAUAUUUUCUGUGUUUAUUUUAAAAAAAAAUAGUUUGGUCAAAGGAAAAUGAUUUAUAGUCAAGAAAAAAUAAGUUAUUUUUCCUGUAAAAUUACUUACCCUUUUGAAAAGCAUAAGUCAUUCUCCGGAAAAGAGCUAAUCUAGAGAUAAUUUUAUUUUUUUAUAAAAAUUACCUUAAAUCAAGCUUAAUAUUAUUAUAUUUAUAAUAAUUUUAUUUUUAUUUUUAAAAAUAUUUAAAAUAUUAUAUUUUUCAAUAUUAUUAUACAUACUUUUUAAUUAUUUAUAUGUAGUCAUAUAAUAAAUUAUUAAUAUAAUUUAUUAUUUUAAUAAGUUAUUUAAUAUUUCAAUUUUAUUUUAAUAAUAAAUUUUAAAAAUAAUAAUUUUAAAUAAUAUUAUUGAAAGUAUUCAAUAUUAAUAUUUAAUAAUAAAUAUUUAUUACAAUUAUAAAUAUAUUAAUAAUAAAUGUUUUGUAGUAUAAAUGUUAAAAUAUGUCAUAAAUCUAUGUACACUUUACAGAUUUGUAAUUUAGUCCUAGUACUUUUAUUUUCAAGAAUUUAGUCCCUUUACUUUUCAAAUUUAAAAAUCAAGUCUAAUUGUUGACAUCGUUAAUUUUUUUUAUCAAUUUUGUUGAUGUCACAUUUUUAAAUAAAAAAUACUCACUUAGUAGCCAUAUAAUUAAAAAAUGACUUUGUAAUGAAUUUAAAUUUAACAUAAUAUUUUUAAUAUAUGCAAAAACAAUGUAAAAUAUAAAAUUAUAGAUAAAAAUAAAUUCAAUUAAACAAUUAAAAAAUAAGAAAAUCUCAAAUGUAUGUUUGUUUAAUUGAAAAUAAAUUUUAUGAAAUAUUUUAAAGAAAUCUACUAAAUAACAGAAAAUAUUUUACACAGAUUCAUCCAAAUACCAGAAAAUAUUAGCUUUUCCAAAAAAGUAAACCAUUUUCUAGAAAUCAUUUUCCGGAAGUUAUUUUCAAUGAAACAAACAGAAGCUAAACUUUAGUUUUAUAAUAGGGUUAAAUUACUAUUUGGGCCUAAAUUUGGCAACCAUUCUCUGAACUUUAUUUUAUUCAAGUUAGAUCUUGAACUAGAGGCUUGAACUAGACAACUAUUCUCACAUUGGAGCUUGAAUUUUUGUUUGUCCAAAUUAAUCAUUGAGCUUGAUAAUUGUUCCCACACAGAGGCUUGAAUUAGACAACUAUUCUCACAUUAGAGCUUGAAUUUUUGUAUGUCCAAAUUAAUCAUUGAGCUUGAUAAUUGUUCCUGCAUUGGGCUUGAACUUCACAAAUUUCAAAGAAAUAUUAGGGAUUAACUUGAGUAAAAAAUGUUCAGGCCUCUAAUGUGGAAACAAUUGUCAAGUUUAGAGUCUAAAUUGAAAAAAAAAUGUAAACCCCAAUAUGGGAAUCAUUGCCAAAUUCCAGCCUCAAUAUAAAAAUAGUUGCCAAGUUCAAGCCCUAAAAAUGAUUUAACCCUUUAUAAUAUAUCUUGUUUUUCAAGGUUGAGCAGUUGAGGCUGUUAAGCCAUCUAUUUAGCAGACAUAUUUAAUAUCCUAACUACUCCAUAAUAAGACUUUUAAUGUUGGAAAUGUUGUUAAGGCUGCUGAGAUUUAGGUUGAAUUUGUUUUUUUCCAGGUGUGUCAACAACCUACUGAUGGGAAAAGUGGCCUCCUUAGAGCUGAUUGCUUGCAAGGAACUAACAACCCAAAGUAAGUCAUAAACUCAUGAUUAACUUUAGGGUUAAAUCAUUAUUUGCUAUUUAAACUUGACAAUUUUUCUCAUAUUAGAGUUUAAAUUUUUUUUUGUUCAAGUUAGACCCUGAACUUAGCAAUUAUUCCAUUAUUGAGACUAGGACUAAGCAACUGUUCCCAAAUUGAAGUUUGAACUUUUUUUUAUUGUCUAAGUUAAUCUCUAAACUUGACAAUUGUUCUCAUAUUGGAGCUUGAAAUUCAAUUAUUCCCUAUUGAGACUUGAACUUUAGAGUUUUCAAGGACUAGGGCAAAAAAAAUUCAAGCCCUAAUAUAAAAAUAAUUGCCAAAUUCAAGGCCUAACUUAGAUAAAAAAAAAAGUUCAGCUCUAAAAAAGUGACUUAACCAUUAACUUCAUCAACAUCUUUUCUUCUUUCUAUUUCAUAUGUUGCUUGGAUUCUUCAUUUUUCUUUCAAGUACCCCAUAUCCGACACAUGGAUAUGGGAUAUGUAAGAAUCCAACAGGUACUUUAAAAAACUCAAAGAUUCUAACCAUACCCUUUCCAUAUACAUACCCAAAUACUAGUAGCAUAAUUUGGAUCUAUAGGCUUAAAUUAGAGGUUCUUGCUACAUGUAUAUACAUGACGAGGCACUACCCUUGGAAAUAUCUAUGUCUCAUGAGUGUUCUUCUGUAUCUGAUUCAUGAAGUAAAUUAUUUUGUUUGAAAACAAACAAAAGCGGUUACGAAAAAGCUAAUUAUGAGGAAAAAGCUAUGGCAAGAUGAAUGAAUGCUCAGAAACCUUCCUUGAUGGAGGUUGAGAUGGCCUCAGAACGGUAUAAGUCGGGUCAAUUCAAUUUUUACGAUUUCGGUGUCAUUUCAAAUUUGAAUAAUUCGAGUUUUUAUUAUUUAGGGUUUGAGUCAUUUUAGGUUGAAAGCAUUUGGGUUAGCCAGUGGGGUUUUUGAGUUUAAGUAAAUUUGGAUAAUGAUCAUGUCAGAUUAUUUGCUCAGGUAAUUUUAGGUUUAAGUUAUCCAGGUUUGGAUCAUUUUGGAUUUGAGUUAUUUAAAAUUAUCUAGAUGAUGUCAUUUUUUAAUUUGGAUUGAAUACUUCCAGUUAACUUUUUAUGCUUGCUAAUGGUGAAAAUGUUGUUUCGUCACAUGAUAAAUGAUAUGCUAACAACAUGAUCUUCAACCUCACUGGUAAAUUUGAACAGUUUCCCACGAGUUCUAAUCGACGGACCAUACGGAGCACCGGCACAAGACUACAAGAAAUACGAAAUCGUUUUGCUAAUCGGAUUGGGGAUCGGAGCAACCCCCAUGAUCAGCAUUGUCAAAGACAUAGUGAACAACAUCAAAGCCAAGGAAGAACAAGAAGAUGACGAAGAAGAAGAUAAGAUGAAUGCCCUUGAGAACGGAAAUGGAGCAGCUAUUAAUAAAACCAGUCUCUCAAACUCCAAAAGAAGGCUAGAAAACUUCAAGACAAGGAGAGCAUACUUCUAUUGGGUGACAAGGGAACAAGGAUCCUUUGAUUGGUUCAAAGGAAUAAUGAAUGAAGUAGCUGAAAUGGACCGUAACCGUGUGAUAGAACUCCAUAACUACUGCACCAGUGUAUACGAAGAAGGCGAUGCUCGUUCAGCUUUAAUCACCAUGCUUCAAGCACUCAACCAUGCUAAGAACGGCGUCGAUGUUGUUUCGGGUACAAGAGUAAAAUCGCAUUUUGCCAAGCCUGAUUGGCGCAGGGUCUAUAAGCAAAUUGCUGUUAAUCACAACAAUGCUAGAGUCGGUAUGUACACUGAAACUAUUGCAGCCUUUUUCUAUUGUUGUUUUGCUUCUAGUUCCUGAUAAAUUGAUGUUGAAUGGCAAUGGCAGGGGUGUUCUAUUGUGGGGCACCAGCGUUGACAAAGGAAUUAAGGCAACUAGCUUCGGAUUUCUCGCGCAAGACCUCCACCAAGUUUGAUUUCCAUAAAGAGAAUUUUUAGAUGAGAUUUUCAGGAAGUGAUAAAAUUCGGUCACAUCAUCCAUUUUCGAAUCAACCAGUACAAUUCUUAAUUUAAGACUGAUAUAACCGAUUAAGUUAACCGAUUUAGUCCAAUUAUUUUAUUCAAAAAACAAUGUCUUCAGAUCCGAAAAAGAAAAGCCGAAAGGAAAAAGAAUGUCUAAUUACGAUGAUCCCCCGUUGUAAUAUGGUCUCAACUGUAUAAAGAUGUUCGCUUUGUUGAUUGUCUACAUGUUUUUCUUCUACACCAAAAAAGAAUAAGACUCUCUUUAAAAAAUUAAAAUAAUUUAAUUUUUAUCAUUUAUCGAAAACAAUUGAUCACAACAUUAGUUUUUCUCAUCAAUUAUACAUAAAUUUCACUAAUAUGAUAAUAAACUAAAGUAAAUGUAUAAACUUUAAAGCUGAAUAUGUUUAAUUUUUAAAAUUAAAACUAAAAUAAUAAUAUAUAAAAAAUUAAAAUUAUUAUUAUACUAACUUAUAUUAUAUACAAUUAAAAUUAGUUAUAUUUAAUUAUUUACUUUCAUUAGAAGGAUUAAUUAUUCCAAUUUCUUUGAAAGAGAUUUAAGAAAAACUAAAGUAAACAACUCAAAAUAAUUAAUAUAACAAAUGAUGUUUAUAAUUUGAUUGGAAUGAAUCUGAUUUCCUUAAUACCAAAGGAGUAUCAUUUUGGACACUAAUGGGAGGCAAGUGGUAUAAUAAAAAUAUUUCAAUUGAGUUAAAGGCUGUAUUUUUCUUUGUUUUAGCAGGAAAAAACCAAAACCAACUAAAAAAUAUCAUUCCAACUCAAGUGAAAAAGCACGUGCGGAUAACCACUAAAGCAGACAAGCAUGGAUGUACUAAAUGGGGAGAAAAUAUAUAAAACUUUUCUGACUAGUUAUAACAAAAUUCUACAAGUUCCAGCAUAUCCAUUAAGGUUGGGCGUUUCAACACCAUCAUACCAUAAACUUCAACUCCCUCUACUUGGUUUUUGCUUUUUGAGGCACAUGACAUGAAAAACUGUCUCUGUUUACACUCUUCAAUUAAUACAAUCUAAUAAUGUUUCAUCAAGUAAAACUAAAAAAAAAAAAUCACCAGGUACCGUGAAUGUUUCAGCUAUGAAGACCACCUCUAAAGCCCAAAAAUUUGCCCAUACUAAAAACAGAUUAUCACCAUUCACCUCUGUUUUAAGUGUCACGCCUCCUCCUGCGAGGAGGAGCAGCGGUUCCUUCUUUCUCUUCUUCUUCUUCUUCUUCUUCAGCCUUUUCUCCACUGGUUGAUUGAUUGUUUGAUGUCUCAGCAACCUCCGGUUUAUUCUCUACUUUUGGCUGCACAACAAUUAAUCAAUUGAGUAAGACGAAAAGCUACGUGAAGAAUGAAAUGCAAACAUAUAGACCAAAAAGAUUGAUUCGGAUUUCUUACUUGCUUCUUGCCACCGAAAAGAAGUCUGAAGAGAACUGUGAGCAUAAUCACCAAAAUGGAGACGAUGACACCAAUGGUGAUGUUUGGCUGUUUCUCAGCCUUCUCAAUGAGAUCCUAAAAGAGAAACAAUAUUUCAGAGGGAUCUCACUAAUGAAUAGUGAUUUGCAUAUGAUGGAGCAUAUUUGAGAUUUAACUUACAAGGAUUUGAAGCUUGUAUUCACUUAAGAAAGGAAUAUCAGCAACCUUGUAAAGGACAUCAAAGACCUUCUUCUGCAGGAAAGGAAUUACCAACUUUAAAGUGUUAUUUGGAUGAAACUUAGGAACAGACCAACAAUAACAAAGUAACCUUGCCAAUGCAUUACCUGGACGGCUGAAAGUCCAUCUGAAUCAGUGGACUCAUCCUCAGCCUUCUGUUUUUCUUUCUCAACCUCAAACUUAGGCUUCCAUGUGGUCUCCCUGUAUGACUCAGCAACCUUGUCAUUUUUGGCAAUCAAAAUAUUGUCAAACAAUAUGCCAUCUUGCAUUGUCCAAAUCUCAAUACCAACAGCAGCAAUAGGCUCAAAGUCAGGCUUAUCAAGCUCAAAGUAGUCGGGGUUUGGAAUCUCUUGAGGCUUCCAAAUACCCUUGUAAUUGGGGUUAUCAAUUAGUGGAGCAGACCAUUUUCCCUUGUAAGCUGGAUUCAUCUUCAUUGGCCUCUUCCAUUCACCACAACCAGGGGCUGUCUCACACUUCGGGUUAUCAAUUUUGGGGGCUUCCCACUCACCAUCCUCUUCAUCAUCCCAAUCUUCUGGCUUGGUUGCCUCAGGAUCAUCUAUCUCCUCAGGCUCAUCAUCUAACCAUCCUUCUGGUUUCACAGCCUCCUCAUCUUCAAUUUCCAUGGGAGCAUCCUCAUCCCAAUCAUCCGGCUUUACAGCAUUUGGGUCUGGAAUUUUGGCUCUCUCAUCCCAGUCCUCAGGUUUCUUAUCGUCUGGAUCAGGAAUCGUCUUAGCAGGGAUAAGUGGUGGCUCAAAAUCAUCAGCUGAGAGGAAGUUAGCCUUCUUUUUCUCUUCUCCAUCAAUCAGAAUUCUAACCUCAUUGUCAGGCUUCAAGAUCGCAGUGUACACAUGAGUAAGCUUGUCAGAUGGGACAGAGGGUGGAUAUUUAAGAUGAUGUUCGACAUAUUCCCCACUUUUAGGAUUCUUAUGCUUCAAGAUGAAGUGAACCUUGUUUGUGGCUCCACAUUUGUCAGGUCCAAACAUGAUAGAGUAAGGGGAUUCAUUGUCAAAUUCCUUAGCCUUCCAUCCAGCCUCUUGAGGACGAAGGUAUUUCAAAUAUGCACCACCACAUUCAAGCCCAUUCUGAAAGCGAGUCUCAAACUGAAGCACGGUGCUUCCAUCCUUGAGACUCACAGGCUCAUUGAGCUCCUUCACUAUCGCAUACUUCCGUGCCUUCUCGCUCACAAGAAGCCCGUAGUCAUCAUGUCCUUCGCUCUUCGAAUGUUUCCAUACACCUGCAACCCCCAGAACACCAUCAAUAUAUACCUUUCAACUCCCUAAAACAUCUAAUAGGCCAAUGGGUGUGUCAUUUCAUAUCACACUUAAAAAGUAAAGGGAUACUGAUAACAAAAAGGCCAAUGGGUAACUAUAUGAUUUCUUUUAAAUCUUGAAUGACUAUGAAUGCAAUUUGUAUAAACAUCAGAGAAGCAAAAUUGGAACUUUGGAUCCAAGUGAACAAAGAGGUGCAUUAAAUGGCAAACAAGAACAAAAAGCCCAAAAAGCUCUAAGGCAGUUAAUCCCGCAUUAAAAGGUGGAUUAUGAAUCCUAAACUUCAGCUCAGGAUCGAAGAAAUGGUGGAUUAUAAAGCAUAAACAUUAUUAAAUAUUUGAUCACUACAUCUACUUUCCCCAAAGAUCAAAUUUCUAUCCAUAUUUUAGAUUAUUAAUUCUUUAAAACCCCUCACUAACUCUACUUGAAUAGCAAAUAUCAAAUCAGGUUGAAACGUUUAUAUUGUGGUUAAAAUAUAAUGUUAGACCCUGUACUUUGACAAAAUUUGAGAUUCAAUCCCUGAUCUUAAAAGGUUAGAAAUGAAGUCCUCCAACUUUUUUGAUUUAAAAAUCUCAGAAAAUCAAUAAAAUCAUAAGUAAUUUCUGUCAAAAUUUGUCAAUUUGGCAUAUUGAUUAAGCUACCCUAAUGUGAAGUGGCAUAUGAUUGAAAAAAAAAACAUGUUACUUAAACUAUCGGACUAAAAUAUUUAAACUAAAGAAAAAUAAGAGGACUGAAUUUUUAACUUUUAAAAAAUAGGGACUAAAUCUCAAAUUCUAUAAAAGUAGAGGCACUAAUAUAGCAUAACCUUAAAUUAUUUUUUUCAGGAUAUUAUCUUUUCUAGUAAUACAAUAACAAGCUCCACAAUCAAUCAACACUUCUAAACACCUAAAAACCAGCAUGAAGAAAACAGAUCCAUAAAAUAUUCAACUGAGGAAACCUAUAAAUAGAAACAUAAAAUCAUUUUUAAAAAACUCACCUUUGUAAUCAUCUUUAUCGGACACGAUCCAUCGUCCGUCAAAAGGCUCAUCAAAUGAGUCAUAAAAGACCUAAAAAUAACCCACAAAAACAGGAAGUCAAUCUAGCUUUCAAUUUCACAGUUUCAAAUAAAUCUCAACAAAAUCAAGGGUUUUAAAAAGUAGAAAAUUAAAUUACCGUAUCAUCAUCAGCGGCGAAGCAAAGGGCUUGAAAUGAAGCGAAAGCUAGUAAAAGGAGAAGAGCAAAACGCCCCAUAAUCUUCGAUCUAAAAACCCUAAACUCAAACUAUUGAAGUUCUUUUACCCCUUCUUUUCGAUCUGAAUCUAAAUCUGCCAUCAAUUGUGUUUGCCCUUUUUUAUAUAUAGAUCUUCGGGAUACUGGCGUCGACUUGUUUUACCCAAUGAUAAUACGUGCCACGUGAAAUUAACCAAUGGGUUGUUGCCACGUAUACAAAUCCACGAACAUCGCGAAGGAUUUUUUUUUUUGCCCAAAAUGUACAGUUGGUCAUUUAAGUGUACGCUUUUUUGAUAAACUACAACCAAGUCACAAAUUAGUAAUAAAUUUACGUUUUAGUCACUUAAUUUUAAAAAAAUACGAAUAAUUAUUAAACUAUUUGACAAUUUUCAUUUAAGUCACUAAACUAUUUGAAAGAUUUCAUUGAAUUCACUAAAUUAUUUGAAAGAUUUCAUUUAAGUCACUGAACUAUUUGAAAAAUUUCAUUUAAGUCGCUAUUAAGUUUUUUUUUUUUUAGAAAAGUAUGACUAGUAAGCUCAAAAUAAUGAAUUGAUGAUUCAUAUGGUAGAUUAGUAUCCAUCAACAAGUAAAAAAACAUGUCUUAAAUCUAAGCUGAUUUGACGAUCAAUAUCGGAAAUCAAAGAAAAAAUCUAUUUGGAUUUUGAUUCAUAGAUUCAUGACGUUUAAAAUUUGUUUCAUAAAAAAAAUGAACUAUAGAAGAAAAUGGGAAUGAGUGCUCUCGAUUGGUAUAUGUGGUACAAACAAAGAACGCCAUACUAUAGUGAUUUCAACAAUCCAAUUACCUAAAUGAAAUCUUUAGAAUAGUUUAAUGACUAUUUUAUAAUUUUUAAAAGUUAAGUGAUCAAAACGUAAAUUAGCUAAUAAUUCAGUGACCCAGGGUGUAAUAUACCCUUAUUAUUUACUUUUGAAUUUUGGUAUAAUUGUGGCCUUGGUCUAUGUAAAUUUGUAAUAAUUUUUUCUUAUACUUAAAAUUGUAAUAAGUUGAUUUUUUUUACUAUGAUUAAUAUUACUUAUUAUUCCAAAUCAAUAACACUAUUAAAAAAUUUCUUUAGUAAGCUAAUAUGAAAUUUUAAUGAAAAAUAUUCCAAAUUUUAUAUCUAUAAGCCAUUUUUUUGUCUUCAAACGGAACGAAAAUGAAUAACGCAAUCAAGUUUCUUUAAUUGGGUUACUGGGUUUUUACUGUCUCUUUUCUCAAUUUGUAGGGAGGAGGAGGAGGAGGAGGAGGAUGACAGGGUGAUUUUUAUUUUAUUAAAUAUUAAUAUAUUUAUAUUUAUUUAAUGUUAAUGUUAAUAUAAUUUAAAAUUUUAAUUUAUUAUUAUAAUUUUUUUAAAAAUAUUUUUCUUAUUUAUAUAUUUUAAUUUUUAUAUAUUAUUAUUAUUUCUUGUCAACAAUAUUUUUUAUUUUUAUAUAUUUUAAAAUUUAUUUUUUUAAUAUUUAUGUAUUUUUUUAGUUUUUUAAAAUUAGGAUCAAUUUGAGAUUAUUUGUAAAUUUUGAGAUUUAAUUUUUUAAAUUUAUGACUAAAUUGAUAUUAAUAUGUAAAAGUUGAAGGUUAAAUUUGUUAUUAUAUUAUUUUUUUAACUAACACAUCAGCUUGUCAUUUGUGAUUUUAACGAGAGUGAUCAAAAUGGCUGAAUUAUAUGACGUGGGUGCUUAAAUUGCAAUCUUUUUUAUUUUGAAUGUAUAAAAUGAAAUUUUUUUAUAUAGUUAUGUAACUAUUGUAUAGUUUACUUAAAAAUAACUAUUUUAAUAACUAUAAUUUCAACUUUUAAGUUGACUUAAGAAAGUCCGGUUUUAAUUUUUUAAAAGUAUCCUACACUAGGACUAAUAAAACAUUUUAACAAUAUUAAUAAUUUGAACUAACGCGUAACAAUAAUAAUGAUAAAAUAAUUAAAUUAUGCCAUAUUAAAUUAUUGAGACUAAAUCCUUCAAUCAAGUAUGGUACAAUAACUAAAACAUAAUUUGACUAAAAAAUUUAAUUUAAAUUUAUUGUGUUUUAACAUGUUUAAUUUAAUUUUUUAUUUAUUAUAAAAUUAUUAUAUUUUUUAAAGUUUAUAUGUCAAAAAAAGCCUUUAAGAAAAUGUAAAAAAAAUUAAUUAAACCCUUAUAUUAAAUUUGCGGCCAAUUAAGCCCAUGUCAUUAAUAAUAAUUAUUAUAAUUACUAUUAUUAUUAAAUCCCUCUAUUAACCGUUAAAAAAAUUGAUAGACUAAUAAGAAAGUGACACGCGGCGACUUAUGACUUAAUCUAUUAUUUUCCCAUAAAAAAUAAAAAAUUAUAAAAAUUCAGAAAAAUUAUUAAAAUAUUUAUAAAGUUAUUAAAAUUAAUAAUUAAUAAAACUUAUAAAUAUUAUAAAAUAUAAUAAAUCUAAUAAAUUUCAAUAAAUUAUAAAAAAUUUAUAAGAUUUUGCUUCAUUAUUUUUCCAAAAUUUUUAAUUAUUGUUUUUUUAAUUUGAAUUUAGUUUUUGUUUUUUUAUAUAACCCCCAUUAUUUUUUGUUUUUAUUUAAGAAAUAAAAUUAUUACCGAUCUUUAUGGAUUGUAACACCCCCUACUCGUAUCCGUCGCCGGAAUAGAGUACGAGGCAUUAUCGAGAAGCAAGAAACACUUACACAUAAUUUAAAUACAUUUUCAUAACAAUUUGUUUCGAUUUCAUACUAUUUUAUAUUUAAGCUUUAUUCACCAAAGUAUUUAAGCUUUAUUCACCAAAGUAUUUGAAAUAUCAUCUUUAUGCAAAUAGCACACAUGAGGUAUAUAAUUCCAUAAUUAUGAAUGAACACAUUUAUCAAACAUAUUCCAUGUUUUUAUAUAUAUAUCAUAGUUCCAUAUUUCUAUGUAUCAAUUACCAUCACUUCCUCGUAUUUCAGACAAAUACGUGUAACAGUUCAUAAAUAUGGAAUUCAUUAACUCUUCCUACCAAUCACGAUUUAAAUUGCCAAAUCACUUAUUGAGCCCAAUUUCAAUGUUCACUAAAAUUUAUCAUAUAAAUUUGGAUGUACGUAUUCAUCAAUAAAUUCCAUUCUCAUAUUUCCACAUACAUUUACUUUCCACACUUAUGAAUUCAAAUAGCAUAUACAAGACAGACCAAUGUAUUUCAAGUACGUUUUCAUGAUAUUUCAUUUCGAACUCAGAUUAUUUCAUACUAAAAGUUUUCUCAUUAACUCAUUUGGAAUACCAAUUCAUACGAAUAAUACACUCAAGGCGUAGAAAUAUAUAAUCACAAAUGAACUCAUUCAUCAACAAAGUUUUAUGCUCAUGUCUCAUCAACUCGUAUUUUCUUAUGUCACAUAAUUCCAUGUAAUACUUACCAAACUUCUUCAAAUUAGUGAACAUCUUACGGAAUUGAGUACUUCGUUUUCUCGAUGCCAUAGUUCAACUAUGGUCUUACACAUCUUCAGAUAAUGCUGCCAUAGGCCAGCUAUGGUCUUACACAUAUUCAUAUAUCGAUGCCAUAGCCCAGCUAUGGUCUUACACGAAUCACAUAUCUCACUGAUGCCAUAUCCCAGAUAUGGUCUUAUACGGAAAUCACUUGUCACUUGUAGCCAAAGCUACCACUAUUCACUGAUCAGGUAGCCGGAGCUACCACUUUUCACUGAUCAGGUAGCCGGAGCUACCACUUUUCACUGAUCAGGUAGCAGAAGCUACCACUUUUCACUGAUCAGGUAGCCGAAGCUACCACUUUUCACUUGUUAUUUGUCAUUGAUCAGAUAAGUGUAGCCGAAGCUAUUACUUAUCACUUUCAUUUGUCCUUGAUCAGAUAAGUGUAGCCGAAGCUAUCACUUAUCACUUGUUGCUAUGGUCCAACCAUGGUCUUUUCCUUCAAUUCAUCUUGUCACUGAACUGAAAUGCUCAAUUUGAUUAUUUAUUCAAUUUUCAUGCUUUUACAUUAUUCACGAUUUUAUCAUCAAUACAUAUGAAAUAACACAUCAUGAAAUUCAUAAAAUUAACAAAUGAUCACUAAAACUUAGCCAUAUAAACUCAGAAGUUCGAUUUUUGUAUUAUAACGAUAAUCAUAAUUUCAUAAUAAAUAUUCCAAAUAAGUCAUUAUAUUAUUUCUAAUUCAACACUUAUCGAUUAUAAUCGGGCAUGUGAUCAAUUUAUACACGAGUCAUUCAUAUAUAUAUGUAUAUUUUUCUUCCUCCUCCUCUCCAUCCACAUCCUUAGUAUAAAUAACACACUUGUGAGUAACUUUAUCCAUAAUUUUCACUAAUUACUUAUGUGAAUAUUCAAGCUAUCCACCUGUGUCAUAGUCACUAAAUUAUUUAUAUCUGAAGCUACGGAACUCCAAAUUGAGGUCCGCUAAUUUUCCCUAAAACUAGACUCACAUAUCUUCUUACCAUAAAAAUUUCAUAAUUUUUGGUUAAGCCAAUUAAUACAGUUUAUUCAUUGAAGUCCCCCCUGUUCUGCUGUCUGACAGUUCCGACCCUUCUUCACUAAAAAUUAAUUAUCUCCUUGUACAGGAUUCGAAUGAUGUUUCCAUUUAUUUCUCUUGAAAAUAGACUCAUUUAGAAUUCUAAACAUAUAAAUUUAAGCCCAUAAUUAUUUUUAUCCAAUUUUUUAUGAUUUUACAAAGUCAGAACAGGGGAACCCGAAAUCAUUCUGACAUUGUCUCACAAAAUUCAUCAUAUCUCAUGAUUUACAAUUUCAUUGCUUACAUAAUUUAUUCUAUAAGAAACUAGACUCAAUAAGCUUUAAUUUUAUAUUUUAUUCAUCCUAUAAUUCCAUUUAUACAAUUUUUGGUGAUUUUUCAAAGUUAGACUACUGCUGCUGUCCAAAACAGUUUUAGUGCAAAAUGUUGAUUUCCAUUUUGCCCCAAAUUUCACAAUUCAUACAAUUCAGUCCUUGCUCAAUUAACCCCUCAAUUAAGAUAAUUUUCUCAAUUAAUACUUUUCAUAGACAUUAUAAGUUAUUUUAUAACUAUUGAAAUUCAUAAUUUCCACAUAAAACUCUAACUUCAAACUCUUUUACAAUUAGGUCCCAAACAUUCAUUUUCUAUUCAAUUCUUUCAAAAAAAUCAGCAUAUAAACAAUUUUAAGCUCUAAUUCCAUACCAAAUAAUCAUAUACAUCCAGCACAUAUUCAUAGAAACUUUCAAUUUCUUUCAUAGAAUCAAAAACUAAUGAAUUCAACAAGUGGACCUAGUUGUAAAAGUCAUAAAAACACAAAAAUUUCAAGGAAUAAUCAAAAAUUGAACUUACUUGAAGUAAAAAUAUGAAAAAACAGCUUAAUGGAACUCUUCCAUGGCAUUUUUGCUGAUGACAAUGCAGAAAAAUAAAGAGAAAUGUAGAUAAUUCCACUUUAGUCCUAGCUUUAUUAAGUAAAUUUUACAAUUUUUCAAUUUUGCCCUUAAUUCUCCUUAUUUUCUUGCUAAUUUCAUGCUCUUGCCGUCCAGUCCAAAUAGACCUUGGGUCUAUUUUCCUUUUAAACCCUCUUUCUUUUAUCAUUUAAACUAUUUAAUCAUUUUCCAUAAUUUUGCAUUUGAUACAAUUUAGUCCUUUUUGUUCAAUUAACUAUCAGAACUUUAAAAUUUCUUGACGAAACUUUAAUACUAACUUAUUAACACUCUAUAAAUAUUUAUAAAAAUAUUUAUGGCUUGAUUUAAAAUUCCCGAGGUCUCGAUACCUCGUUUUCGAUUCUAAUUAUUUUAGUAUUUAUUUUUAGUACACUAUUCACUAUUUCAAAAUUUUUCCCAACUUCACAUUUAACUUAUACUCACUAAAUUAAUAAUAUUUUCUACUCAUUUGUCGGAUUUAGUGAUCUCAAAUCACUGUUCCGACACUACUGAAAAUUAGACUGUUACAUGGAUACAACUUGACUUGUCGUUAUCUACUUAUAUUAUAUUUUUAAGUAAGUUUUUUUUUGUAGGUCUCGACAGCCUAUCAUAUUACAAUUUCUAUUUUAUUUCAACUAUUUUUAACUAAUAAUUUUAAAUUAAAUAUUUUUUAUUUAUUUUUAAGUAUGAAUUUACUAAUAUGAUGAAAAAUAAAAUAUAUUCAUGUUAUUUUAAUUUUUUUCAAAUUCGUACUUUUAUAUUUAUUAUAAAUAUUAUAUCUAAACAUAUACAAACUUGUGAAUAAGUAGAACUUCCAUUACUAAUGCAUAAGAGACUGUCUCCAUCGCUUUCCUCUUUUUAUGUCUAUUUUUGAAGACUAGAGUAAACUAAAAUUUUCAUUUGAAAUUUACUAAAUAAUAAUCUCAUGGUUUCAUAUAAUGAGCAUGUACUUGUGUUUGCUAAUAGAAUGUUAUCUAUAUAUAGCAUCGGACUAACAAUUUUUCUCUUACAGAAGUUUAAAUAUAUGCACUAAUCAAUCGUAUUUCCUUAAAAUAAAUAACAAUCCCGCUUUAACAGAUCUCCAUGCAAUGUAAUUUAAUAACAAAAUAUAUUAUUACAAUUAUACCUAGAAGAUAUUAAAAGGAAAAUAAAAACAACAAAGAACACAAAAUUUUUGACAAAGUUCAACAAGUUACACUUACGUCCUCUAAUACUAUCAAAUAUAUUUCCCCAAAAUCAUCCUCAUUAGUGUUGGAUUGGAGGCGCUAAAGCUUGGUUUUCCUUUUACGUUGCCCCGUUUUGAUUUUAGUUGGUGUUUUGGUUUAUGAUUAAGGGAAGCUGGAUUGGCCAUGAGAGUAUAGGCGUUGGAUCAUGAAUCUUCGCACGACAGAGGAGCAUCUUGUCUCGGGUAGUCAUCGACAAGGCCGAUUCCACAGUCACUUGCAAUCCUAAUGUUUGGAUAUCAAAUUUCGUCUCUGAUCUCUAAUCGUUUGACUUAUAACUCUUGCCUCUUCCCUAUAAGAACCACGAGAAAUGCCACUUCGGGUUAGUUACCAUGGGCUCGGGUUUUAGUUUAUACAGGGGUGAAGCCAGAACAAAUUUUUAGGGGGCGGAUGAAAUUUUAAUUUUUUAUAGUUUAUAUAUUUAUAAUUUGUGAAGGAUUAAAUUGAAUUUUUAAAAUUUUAAGGGGCCAAAAUAUAAUUUUACCUUUACUAAUUUAAAAUUUUUAAAAAAUUUUAAGGACCUAAAUAAUAAUUUUACAUUUUAAGGGGGCCAGGGCCCAUGUCAGCCCCCCUGGCUUCAUCCCUAAGUUUAUGCAACAUUUAGGUUUAUUCUUUGGGAGUAAGCCCAUGGACUCUUUGAUAAAUUUUGUUAAAAAUUUAUAUCUCAUACUAAAUUUGGAUUGAUAAAUGAGUACAUACUAAUAUCAUUUUUUCUUAGUAUAAUUACAUAAGUCAAUUAAAUUUAAAAGGUGUAAUAUCAAAUUUAGUUUUAAAUAUUUAUAUAUUUUGUCAAAUUGAUAUUUUUCAGUUAAAUUUGACUUUUAUUUUUUUUUGAAGAGUCAAAUUUGAUCAUUAACCCUUAAAAAAAAGUUGAACUGCCGAUUGAGUCUUAGCUCAGUUGGCAUCAACAUCGUUGCCAGUACGGGAGGACGUGGGUUUGAGUGCGCUAAAAUGCCUUAUCCUCUAAUUCAAGAUUUGGGAAGCAGCUAUGAGUAGUUCUAGAUAUCGUAUCAAAAACCAAAUAUUAGGAAUCGUGAUACUACGCUCAUAUGAAAGGAAGUAAAUAAAAAAAAAUUGAUUUGUUAUUUUUAAAAUUUUUAAACAUUACAACCCGCAUGACAAUCCGUGUAAACUUCGUGUUAUUUUUUAAAAAAAUUUAUAUAUAUUUUUGAAUAUUUUUAGAAAUUUUAACUUAUUUGAUGAAAUAACAUAUAAGACAAAUAUUAUUAUGUCAAUGUGAAGUACAUUCGGGUUGCCACGCUAAUAUCAUUAAAAAAUAUGUUUUAAUCAACAUUUUUGUCAAAAAAAACUAUUUGACUUUUGUAAUAGGUCAAUUUUGGCCUGGCCUAAUUUUGAAAAUAGUAAAGCCAACCAAAUAAUAAAAGUCCAAAGCUUCAACAGUCCAAUUUAUACAUUAAAAUGGCCUAAAUUAAAAAAUACUCAAAACCCAAUAACAUACCCAAACCUAUCCUACCCAAUUUACAAGGCCUAAGCUAAACCCUAGCCCACUAGCUAUCAAACUUUUCAGCCAACAAACCCUAGCCUCCUUCAACUUAACUAGCGCUGCACGCCACCCUCGGCUCUGCCACCGCUGUUCGGCUUGCCUCCACGUGGUUAUGACACCUGCAAAAUGAAGCAAACACGCAAGACAGAAGUAGACAAUGAGAAAACGACAAAAAUAGAACAAACAAAUAGUUUGUAAUGGUCUACAAAAACAAUGAUGGGCAUUUGUUUUUUUCUUCUUCGGCUUCUUUUAAAAAAACGCAUGUAUACAAACGAAUAAGAGAUAUACAGAGAGAUUAAAAAGGUGAUUUUCUUUGGUGAUUUUGGCUUCGUUCUUGUUUAUUCUAAUUGCUUUUCUUUUUUUUUAAAUACGAUAAUAAUAUAGUAGUAAAAUAAAGGGGGAAAGAAAACUUACCAUGUUGAUGGCCAUUCUCCAUUCGGGUCAAAUCGGAAAAGGAGAAGAAACAUGCGUUUCUUGGUUGCUCCGCCGAUUUUGGCCAUGUUCUUGGAGUUUUGGCCUUGGAUCUAUGCUUUAUAGAUGAUGGGCUCCAAAAAUCGGUGAGAAAGGUGGGUUUAUAGGUCUCCGGCCACUGUAUAAGGCGGAACCAUGGCAAAGUUGACCGGACUUGCUUCACCGGGGAUUGGGGGUUCUUAAGAGAGGAUUUCCUUUCUUAGGUUUUUUUUUUUUAAUUGUGAAGUGAAAUGUUUUAAACAAAAAAAAUAAACAUGGUUCUUAUAGAACUAUAAAACAACGCCGUUUGGGUAAAGGAGAAGGGGUCUGUGCGCCUAAAAUGAGUGAUUUGCAUGGCCAAUCCUUCUCUUUUGUACUGCUAUUGGAUUAGGCCACCUGUUCUUCUUUUUGUUUUUUUUUAAAUCUGGCCCAGGAAUUUUAUGUCAAUUUCAUUCUAAUCUGCAUUUAAACGCUUCAUUUCGGGAUUUGGUUUAUUUGCAUUUCUAAUCCCCCUCCUUUACGCACAUUUCACUUCAGUCCCAAUCUAUUUAUCGGUUUAUUACGAUUUAGACCCGGAACUCCGUCUUAAUCCCGAUUUAAUCAUUUGCUUAAUUUUAACCCUUUUUAUGAAUCCAUUUUAUUUUAAUAUUAUUUAUUUAUUUAUUAUUGCUAGCUUUCACUUUUCUUUUAAAAAAUAUAUAUCGUGUAUACAUACAUUAUUAUAUUGUCAUCUUAUCUUCAUUAUAUUGUAUUCUUUUUUGUUUUCUUUUGUUUUAUUUAUUAUAAAUCUUUCAUAAUAUUUAUUUUGAACAGUUUUAUUAUUAUAUAUUUUAAGUUUUUUUCAUAUGGUAUUUGUUUUAAAUUAUUUUACCAUAUUAUUUAUUUUAAUUUGUUUUGUAUUAUUAUUUUAAAUUAUUUUAUAUAUUAUUUACUUUAAAUUGCUUUAUAAAUUAUUUAUUUCAAAUUAAUUUAUACUUUAUUUUAAAAUAUAUAUAUUAUUUAUCUUGAACCAUUUUAAAUUUCUUCCAUAAGUUAUUUCUUUAAAAUUUAUAUUAUUUCAUGUCAAGUGGUUUCAUAUAGCUCUAAUUUAAAUUGUUUUAUACUUUAUUGGUUUUAAGUUGCUACAUAUAUUGUUGUUUUAAGUCAUUUUCAUGUUGACUAUCUUAAUUUGUUCCAUGUAUUAUUUCCUUCAUCAUAUUUUACAAUUGUUUCUUAUUUUCUUUUAUUUUGCCUUUGUGUUUAUUUAUUUUAAUCAUUUAUUAAUUUAGAUUUCAUCAUUGUUAUCAUUUUUAUUAUUAUUUUUGUGUCGUUAUCUUAUGUUAGUUAUUUUAUUUCUUAUUUGGUCGUUCAUAUCAAAUAGUACAAAUUAUGUGAUUAUUGUGAACCGUUUUUAGUAUAUUCACAUUCUUAUUAUUUAUUGACAUAAUAAUCUUAUUCGCAAAUUACCGUUCUAAACAAAAUAAAUACACAUCGUUUUAAAUUUCAUAUUUGCUAUUAUUUCAUAAAAAGAAAAUUCUCUAAUAAAGGCAAUAUUCUGUGUUUGGGAAAUUCGAGAGAUCGUGCUCUAACGUGCUAGGUUUCGAUUUUUUUCGUUUGAUCCAAAUGAUCGAAUAUUCUUUUGAAAUUAAAAUGCAUGAGUUUUGAAAAUCAAAAGACAAACUUAUUCUCGAUAAUUUAAAAUGUCGUGUCCUAACGUGUUGGAUGUGACGUUUAAUUACUUCGAGAUAAGAAGGUCUUUAGCAUCCGCUUCGAUUUAUUCAAAUAUUUUCGUAAAACGAACAUUCAUAAAAAGGGAUCUUAAAAAUUUGAAACAUGCAAUAUUUCGUGUUUGGAAAUUUCGAGAAAUCGUGCCUUACGUGCUGGGUUUUGAUUUAUCGUUUGAUCGAACAAUCGAAUAUCCUUUUUAAAAUUUCAAUGCAUGAGUUUUGUAAAUCAUGAGAUGAUUUUGGUAUCGAAUGUUCGAAAUGUUGUGUCCUACGUGCUGGAUGAGAUAUUUUAUUUUUUCGGAAUAAGAGAAUCUUAAUAUUCACCUCGAGUUAUCCAAACAUUCAUAAAAAGGAUCAUAUUUUAAAAUUUAUUUUAAAAUCUUUUCAACUUUCGGCAUCAAGACAUUAAUUAAUCAAUUAGGUAUCAAUUUUGGGCAUUACGAGGGUGCUAAUCCUUCCUCGUACGUAACCGAUUCCCGAACCCGUUUUCUCAAAUUUCGUAGACCAAAAUCGUUGUUUUAGUAAAUCAAAAUAUUUUAUUAAAAUGAUUAAAUUUCUAGGUGAUCCGAUCACACUUAAAUAAAAAAGAUUGGUGGCGACUCCCAAUUUUUGUUUACCAAUUUCAAAACUAAAGUCGACUCCCGUUUUUCAAAAAAAUGGUUUCGACAACUUUUUUUUGAAAGACAAAUGUACCUGAGAAAUCUCUCUAUAUAGAGAUUUGAUCAAAUUAAUCACUCUACAAUUAAAUGGAUCGAUUUAGUCUUUAUGCUAUUAAAAUAUUUUUAAAAUUUUUAUGGUUCUAUAAAUGAAAUAUUUUAUUUGAAAUUAAAUUGCAAUUAAAAAAUAGUUUUAAGAUAUUUUUUAUACAGUAAGCGUUAGCUCCAUUACAAUUUGACUUAUUUAAUUCUUUUUAAUAGUAUAGGGACUAAAACAAUUUAUUUAAUAACAAAUGACUAAUUUAAUCUCGUCCUUAUAAUACAAGGAUCUCCCAAAUAUUUUAUUUUUUUUAAAAAAUUAAAAAUCAAAUUUAGUAAUAAUUAAAUAAACAAAUUCCAAGAAAAAGGAACUAACUUUAGCAUUGCACCUCUUUAAAAGCAAAGUUUAUAUUGUGUAAUAAAUUUGGAAUGGUGAAAGGAAGAGUAAAGGGAAUAGAUGAAUGGUGCAAAGCAUUUUGUACCCUAAAAUAUGAAAAAGAAAGGGGGCAUAAUCUUCUUCUAUAUUCUUCCCCCUUUAGAUUAUUGAAAUAUAAUCUUACCUUUCUGCCAAAACUUGCCUUUAAUGUCUCUUUCCAUUUGUUUAUAAUUUUCAUUCUCUUCUAUAGAAUGGGAGCCCUCCACCUGUUAUCUAACUUUCCUCUUUCAUUAUUUGGCUUUAUCAGAAGAGUAUAAUAAUUUAAUGUAAAAAAAGUCAAAAUAUUAUCUGAGUACAUAAAAUUUAAGAUUUAAUUUUUAUUUUUAUAAUUGAUUGAGUUUUAAUUUAAUUAGUAUUGAUGUUAUUGUUAGUGUAUGAAUAUGUAGGUUUGAGUACGUUAGAGUGUAUUAUCUUCCUAUUUAAGAGUAAGGGAGAUUUUAUAAAUAGUUUUAGACAUUAUAUAAAAAAGAACAUAUAUAAUAAUAACAACAUAUAAUAAGAUUAGUAUUUAAAAAUUUAAUUACUUUUAUAUUUUUUAUGGUAAUAAGUUGUAAUAAUUUACAUCAUCAAUAUUUAUUGCCAAAUUUUACUUCAAAAUGUUUGCAUGAAUGUAUUAAUGAAUUUUUUGAAAAAAAUAUUAACAUUAAUAAUAAAAUUAAAUCUUAAAACUUUAUUCAAGAAAGGUGAUGCCAAGGGCAACUAGGGUUUUUUUCUCUUAAAAAUUGUAAAGUUAUAGUUUGAUCCAAGUUAAUCAAUACUGUAUCAAAUUACGUAUCAUUUUUAUUUCGAUACCGUUGUGUUUUAAUAUACAAUUUCGAAUUUACCUAUAUUUUAAAAUUAUUUUCAUAUAUACUAUAUAUAUACGCAAAUAUAUUUUAAUUACAUGCACAUAAAAUUUAAUAUUAUUAAUUAAUACCACGUUUGGUUACUAGUAUAAUAACAUGAGGAAAAAUUUUAUUUAACUCAAAUGUAUUACACUAGAUAUAAAAUAAAGAAGAGUUAGCAUAAUCUAAACUUGAAAUUAAGGUGGGGAAAAGAGAGUAAAAACUCUUGUAAAAAGUAAGACAUUUUCAAGUUAAGUACAUAACUUUUUUUUAUAUUUUCCAAAACUAAGUCAUGUGGGUGGCUAAAAAUUGCCAGUUGAAAUUAAUUUAUUACUAACUCAUAUACUAAUACAUGGUGAAAAAAUAAUACUCUUAUUAGACGUAGCACAAGUACAAUAACUUAUUUAAAUAGUUACAAUUUAUUUUUAAAUGUAAUUAUAAAAAAUAAAAUUAAUUAAGAUAAAAAAUAUGAAAACCUUUAACCAACCGAUACACAUCUUAGUAGAAAAAUACUAAAAUGGCACGUACCAAUUGUUACAAUAUCGAUCAGAACAAUUAUUUGAUUUCUCUAAAAAUUAUAAAUUAAUAUAAUAAAAUUAUAAAUAUAUUAGUAAUUUAAUGAUGUAGUUAAAAAAUUAUAACUAAAUAUUAAGGAUUAAAAAGAAUUCCUAACUUCCCCUUAGAUUUGAUAAAAAAGAAUAAUAGUAGUUAGUGGAAGAUAAGAUAUUCCCCCAUGAGAGAAUAAUAUGAAAUUUGACACUUUUGUCUUCUUUCUCUUAUUCUUUGCAACAUUGAGCCAUUGACACCUGUCUCACACACUGUCCAUGAAUGUAUUUUAUAUAAACCUAGUGUUGCUGAAACUAAGACAAUUUACAACACAAUCUCUUCUUCCUUUCCCAUCUCACCUCUGUCAAAAAAAGAAUGUGGAGAAGCAAGAAGAAGAAGAAGAAGAAGAAGAGCUUUAGUAUACCAUUUAUUAUCGGGAUUUAAAUUGCGGUGACGUUAGCAUUAUCGGAAUGAAGUUGACGGUGAUUUAAAUCCUUGAUAACAUUAUAUAUCAUGUAUCCUCUUCUUGUUUCUCUUACAGGAUUUGAAGGGGACAAACACAGGCAAGUCAUUGAGGCAAAGGGAAGGUCAUGCCUUUCUUCCGGAUUUUUACUUUACUUCUUCUUUUUUUCAUAUAUAUUUUUCCUCCUAUGUUUUAAAGGAUAAUUAUUUGACAUAUUGAUGGUAAAAAAUUUUAAUUCCACAAAUUGAGUUGAAAUUUUAUAAUGUAUUAUUAAAUUGUAUUUAAAAAAUUAAAAUAUAAAUAAAACAUAUAUCAAAAUCUCAACUCGUUUGUGCAAUUGAAAAUUUUCACCACUUAUAUAACAAAUAAUUAACCAUGUUUUAAUACAUACUCAUUAAGAUUUCUAGAGCUGUUUGAUUUUCUCAACUUUAUGCUUGUAUAAGUUAUGAAUAAAAAUUGUUUUCAUUAUACAAUUAUAUUUCUCAAUUUCAUUACUAGUUUUUUCUUUUGGGUUAAAUUUUGGUAUUAAUCUUUUUAUUUUGUGAAAGUUGUAGAUUUAAUUUAUGUAUUUAGUCUUUGUAUUUAUUUAUUAAUCUUAAUAUCUGUACUUAUCGAAUUUCGAAAUUUUAGUCAUCACCCAAAGUGUAGCAAUUAAUCUGUUUGGUUAAAUUCAAU